rnacentral:lncRNA from 1 species
UAUUAUUAAUAUAUUAUUAUUAAAAGAAUAUAUAUACAUACAAUAAUUUAUGCGUAAUACAAUUUCCAGGCUCCCUAUUUUCUUUCUUGUUUCUCUCUCUCAACUAUUGUCACUGCCAGUGACGACAGCGACAUUGGUCUUCUUCCGUUCGGAUGAGACAACGACGGUGGUGGACUAGUGACAACGAUUUUAGUUGACCGGCGGUUUGGAGGAGAUGACGGGGAAGGAUGAUAGUGAUUUUCUGGUGAGCAGCGGUGGGAGAGAGGAAGAUCGGUGCCUGUGGUAGCCGGCUCUCCGAUGUUUUCUCCGGAUCUGGUUGGGAAGGGUUAACGACGGGAAAGGGGAAGAAGCGGACGACGCAAAGCUUUGCCGGCGGCGGGAAAGGGGUGGCAGUUGAGGGAUUCCGGCGAUGGGGAAGAGGGAGUUGACAUUGGUAAACGUCGGAGAAAACACUGGUUUAUGCGUUUUUUGACAAAUUUUCACCGGAUCUGAUUUUUUUUUUUUUUAGUGAUUCCGAUGGGUUUCACCGGAGAAAAUGGAGGCAAGAUGACUGAUGUUUUGUAUUCCGACAGAUUUCGUUAGUGAUGGUUUUCUUACCAGACUUUGACGAAACAUCACCGGAAAACGAAACAACUUUCAAUUAUUCCAUGUUUCUAUUUGACUGAUUUUUCAUCAAUUAGUUUACUAUGUAUAGUGGAUAUGCAUAUGUAUUAUGCAGUAUAUCUAAUGCUCACUUUUCAUAUAUAUAUAUAUAUAUAUAUACAUCAAAAUAAAAAUAUAUGUAUACUUACAGGAGAAAGUUAUCAAAAUAUGCAACUUUUCAUCUAAUUCACACCCCUUAUUUCAAAGUACUAAACUAUUAUGAUGUACCUUUCCUUGGGGUAAAGUGGUCAUGCAUUUACAAUAAAAAACUACAAUAAAAAUAAACCAAAUCCCAUGCAGCAUACACAGAUAUACCAUUUGAAGAUAUAUAGACAGUAAACUCCAAACCAAUAAUUAUAAGUUAGUAUCCACACAUCAGAAGCUAUUAUAAGCAAUUAUUGGUACUUAAACUAGAAAUAUUAAUUAUUAAUUAAUGAUUUAAAAAUCUGAACAGAAGAAACGGAUAAUAACAAGUUAGACCCAUAAACAAUUUGAACUACUUCGUAAUAAUUGAAUCAAGUCUCAUACAAUUGUGUUGUGAAACUAAAUUACAUCGAGGGUUACCUCUUGGGACACUUUACUUUUAAUAGCUAACGUUCAAAAGCCGCAAACCAUAAACCACGAACAAACCUCAAAGUUUGGGACGUAAGAUUUUUUUUCUUAGUUUCCUCUUGUGUUGUUCAAUCUCCUCUCCGUAAUCCCUCUUUUUUUUCAUGUAGUGCGUGUGUUUUUCUAUAUAUAAGUGCAUGUGUGUGUGUCAUGGGUUGUGUGGGGGAAAAGUGGGAGAGGUUAAGUAGAAGUGGGAAUUGUGGGUGGUUUGGGUAGUUUAGGUUUUUUUUUUUUAUUAUUAUUAUUAUUAAUAAUAAGAUAAAAAUACUUAAAAACUAAUAAAGUAUAACAUAAGCUAAUAACUAGUCUUGGGAAUAUGAUUAAGAAAUAUCACACCAUUCUUUAUUAAAAUUGAAAGAAGAAACAAUUUUUUUUUUCUAAAAAUAAAUAAAUAAAUAAAUAAAAACUAAAAAUGAAACUUAUUUAAAAUGUGACUAUUUUUGUAGUUUUCAAAAUUUUUAAAACAAACUUUGUUAAACUAAGAUAAAAUUGAAAUAUCUAACUUAGACCUAAAAAUAAAAUACAUAUAUAUAUUAAACACUAAAAAUGACGUAAAACAUUAGGUUUUGGUCAAAAAUUAGGUGUUUACAGAACAUAUCAUCAACAUAUAAACAUAUAAUUACUACACAAUUUGGAGUGUUCUUGAUGUAAAUAUAUUUAUCACACUUAUUAAUCUUAAAUUUAUUUAAUAACAUUGUUUGAUAAAAUUUUGCAUGUCAUUGUUGGUCCAUGCAUAUUCUUCCUCCAGUUCUCCAUUAAGAAGGUUGUCUUCUCAUUCAUUUGUUAAAUUUGAAGAUCAUACACGAUGACUAAUGCCAUCAACACUUGAAUAGAAGUGAUUCUUGUUACCGGCGAGUAUGUGUCAAAAUAAUAAAGACCUUUUCAUUGUCUGAAUCCUUUUACAAAUAGUCUUACCUUAUAUUUAUCAAUAGUGACAUCAUCUUUCACUUUCUUUUUAAAGAUUCAUUUAAAACUCAAAGGUUUAUUUCCUGGAGGAAGAUGAUUAACCAAUUUUCAUGUAUGAUUAUUCAAUAUAGAUUUUAUUUUUCUAUUGAUCGCUUUUUUCAAUAUUGUGCUUCUGAUGAAGACAUUGCUUUCCUAAGAGUUUGUGGCUUAUUUUCUACUGAAAAUGUCAAGAAAUAGAAACCAAAGAAAGUUGAUUUCUUUUGAUAUUUCCUACUUCUUGAAUUCUCCUCAUUAGAUAAACUUUUCUUUCAUUCUUCCCGAGGUCGUUUUAAAUAUCUUGCUAGAUGACUCACAUUCAUUCUUAUACGGAUAAAUAUUUUUUUAAAAAUUAACAUUAUCUGAUUCAAUUAUCAUAUUCACACGAAUGUCAAAAUUUUCUAAUGUAUGAACCAAAAAAUGAUAUGAUUUGCUAUUGGCAGCACAUCUGAUGAAAAAACAGUCAAUUGUUGUCGGUCUUAAUUUAAUCUUUUUGAAUUUAGGAACCUGUACUUUAGCCAAACACCUCCACACUUUAAAAUAUUUCAAGCUGGGGUUUCAUACUUUUCAUUUUUCAUAUGGAAUAUAUUGUGCUUUUCUAUGAGCCAUAAGGAUAGCUUUUCCCCAUAAGUUCGGGGGUAAAUCAGAACUUGUCAACAUAACAUUCAUUAUCUCCAUAAUUUUUUUUUUUUUUUUUUUUUUUGCAAUUCCAUUGGAUUGGGUGAAUAUGAGGCAGUUGUUGAUGAAUAAUGUCAUAUUCCAAACAUAUUUUUUCAAAAAGAGAUUCAUAUUCUCCACCCUUAUUACUUCUAAUCAUUUUAAUUUUCUUAUCAAGUUGUGUUUUAACUUUAUUUUUGUAUUGCUUGAAUGCGUCAAUUGCCUCAUCUUUUCUAUUAAGCAGAUAAUAUAGCAAUACUGAAUGCUAUCAUAAAUAAAGUUAUGAAGUAUCUUUUUCCAUCAGGGGAUUGUAUUGAGCUCAUGUCACAAAUAUUUGUAUGGAUUAAGUCUAACAGAUUUGAAUUUCUUUCAAUCAACUUAUAAGGAUGUUUCACAUACUUAGAUUUCACAUAUACUUGACAUUUCAAAUUGUUACUUUCAAACUUAGGUAAUAUUUUUAAGUUAAUAAUUUUCCGCAUGAUUUUAUAAUUUUACAUGUCAUAAACGUGCAUGCCAUAAAUGAUUUAAUUCAAGAAAGUAAGAAGAAGCAAAAAUCUUAUUCAUAUCGACUGAAAUUACAUUUAAUUUGAAAAGGCUCUAUGUGAGGUAACCUUUUCCUAUAUACAUGUCAUUCUUACUCAUUACAUCUUUAUUAGAUACAAACACACACGUAAAAUUAUUUUUGACUAGAAGUGAUGUCGAGGUCAAAUUCUUCUGGAUUUCAGGAACUUGAAGAACAUCGUUAAGGAUCACUAUCUUGCUCGAAGUCAUCUUUAAGCCAAUCUUGUCAGUUCUUUCUAUCUUUGUUGUUGCUGAAUUCGCCAUACAAAUACUCUCUCCUUCUCUUGAAGAAGUAUAGGAUGAAAACAGCUCCUUCUUGGAACAAACAUGACGAAUAGUGCCUGAAUCAAUUCACCAUGCUUUGAAAUUUCCCACCAAGUUAUACUCUGAGGGCAUUGCACAUAGUUUGUAUACUUUUUCAUUCAUGUUUUCUCACUCUUUCAUCUUAUCUUUCUAAUGUGCACGACAAACCAAAGACAUGUGGCCAAACUUGCCACAAUUUUAACAAUUUUUUUAUUUUUUUAUUGGUGUAUCCUUUUCUUCAUCAAACUUCUUUCUUUUCUUCUUCUUUGGAGGAUUUUUAAUAAUGUUUGCACCUGCGAUUGAUGAUUUUGCAUAGGCUUUCUAUUCUGUAAUUUUAUUGUCUUCUUCAAUUCGCAGAUGAACAAUCAGAUCCUUCAACAUCAUUCUUUUCUCUUAUAUUUCAAGUAGCUCUUAAAGUCCUUCCACAAAUGAGGUAAUUUUUUGAUAAAGACUGCCACUUGAAAAGCUUCAUUAAUGAUAAUUCCUUUAGCACACAAAUCAUGGAUGUUAACUUAUAGACAUAACAGACUUGUUGUCAACCAUCUUAAAUUCUAGAAAUUUGAUAACCACAAAUUUUUUUUCGUCUAACAUCUUCUGUUUUGUAUUUUUUGUUCCAAGUAUCCCACAAUUCUUUCAAAGUUUGACAAACACUCUACAUAUAAUGCAGAUCAUCUUCUAACCUAUCCAGAAUAUACUCUUGCAAAAUGAUUCCAUGCCUCAAUCACUAGAAAACGCUCUUUCUUAGGAGUGUCAUCCAAAAAGGUUGGAACGUUCUCGGUAAUGCACCUCUGCAAACUAAGAGUGGUCAGAUAGAAAAAUAUUUUUGUUGCCACCUUUUAAAGUUAACACCAAAAAACUUUUUGAGUGUUUUUGUCGCAGUCAUUACAAGGGUGAUGCGACUUGAUGAAACAAUAUUCAUUGUCCUAGAAGUAGAGGCCAUAAUAGUAUUAGUUGAUUCUCCCAAUUCUAUUCGAAAAUACACAAACAGAAUUAACAAACUUUUUAAGAAUAAAAAAGUUUUUAUCCACUCGAUGAAGUAAGAAAAACAAAACUUUUAUUAACUUGAUGAAGUUUUUACAUUCUUCAAAUCGAGUAAUGAAAUAAAAAAUUAUAAGAUUUUAAUCUCCCACCAAACCAGAAUAAAAGAAGAGAAAAUCCUCAUACAAAAUAAAACUUCUUAAACUUGCUAUUUUUUUUCUUUCUUAAUAAAAUCAAUUACAACUGCAAUGAUUGAUUUGAAAUCCUACUGGCUUCACACUACUUUCUAAUGAAGUUCAAUUAUAAAGAUUAAUGGUUUAUGAUAUUUUGAAUGCUUAAUAUCUAAUAUAAUUAGCUAUAUUAUUAUAAAAACGUUUACAAGUAAAAAUGCCAUUUGUAAUAUAUGAACAAGUAAAAAGACAUGGAUGAAGUAUUAUAUUGCUAAUACAACAAUGGUUAUUUCUUACAAUAGUAUUACGGAAAUUACCACAUAAUUACUAGUGUGGAUAUUGCUAACAAGAAAUUAAACUCCUGUUUAUUAAUGCAAAAUUUAACAUUGAAAUAUUUAUUUAUUUAUUUUACUAGCAAUACGGGUAACUAAGCAUCCCUUGUUAACUUAUCCAAACUUAUUCAAGAGAAAUGUGAUUCAUCUUAUCCUUGUUCCUCCUCUUCCUUUUCAAAUUUCUCAAUCUAUAUAAUAGGAUCAAUUAGUGUUUAAGUUAUUUUUAGAAAAAAUAUAAGCAUCUUCAUCUUUAUACAUGAACUCCUUUGCUCUUACAAGAUUAAUCAUAGACAUGAAUAAAACUUUUGGUAUUGUACCAAUGAGUUUGACGUAUUCUUGAUUCAAAUCCUUCCAAUAAUUCACUAUUAUGUUUCUUAUUUUUAUUUGUGCUUCUUCUUUUGUGAUAUCAUAUUCAUUCAUACAACAUUCGAUGCUAAAAGGUGCAUCUCCUCUUUGUUGUUCAUCCUACACCCCAAUAUAAAUAAAAACCAAAAAAUAGAUGACAAAAAUUAGAUACUUUAUAUAUAUAUAGAGAGAGGGAGAGAUAUUAAAUGGUGUUAGAUCAUACAUAUCCUAAUCCUUGAGAUACAAAUACUACCUACACAACAAUUUUUCUCCAACGUAUUAAUUAUAAAGAGAAAAUCAUAUAUUUAUUCAUAUAUUCAAGAUUAGCGCUUACACAAAUUAUGAUUAAGUUUAACUUUUAUAUGCUGACAAUGUUUUGAAUGGGCAAAUACAUUUAAGACCAAGUCAAAGAGAUUAACGAUCAACAAUCUUAGUAACUAUUCCUAGCAAGUCCAUUUGGUAAUUUAAGAAAUAGAUGAAAGUCAUAAAGGACUUUCUAAACUUUUUUUUUUUUGGUUGUUGUUGUUGUUGUUGUUGUUGUUGUUAUUGUUGUUAUUUAUUUAUUUAUUUAUUUGUUUAUUUCUAUAGCAGCAGGACCUAGCUUUUUUUUUUAUUAAAAGAAAAAAAAUCACUAGCAGGAAUCGAACCCGCGUAGUAGGCUGAAGGAAGCGCCCAAUACGUAACACCAUUGAGCUAUCUAAGUGCCUUAUUUCAUGUGGUUCUACAUUAAUAUACGUACAUAAACAUAAAUUUUCUACCUUAUAUAUACAACGUAAUUUUUUACUGAGGGAGUUCAGGUGAACCCCAUGGCAAUCACGUAGGUCCGCCCCUGCGUUAUUUAAUAACGUUUUGAUAACGUUAAUUUAAUACUAAUAUUUUAAUAACGUUAAUUUAAUAUACUACUGCUAUCCUUAAUAACGUUAAUUUAAUAACGUUUUAUUAAAACUAUAAUUUUUUUAAUUAUUAGUAUAGUUUCAUCUUUAAUUUAAUAUUUAAAUAAAUUAUAUUUAGAUAUAUUAUAUAACAUAACUUCGCCCUUUGCUUUAUAAUAUAUAUAUAUACCCGCGCGAUUUUUUCGUAUGAGGCUGACCCAUCUAAUUAAUAAAUCUUUAAUAUUGUUCUUUUUCUGCAAUGAAAAAAGAAAUUAGAUCCCAUUUUCAUGUUUGAGCUAAAAAUAAUGAAAAAAUAAUAUUGAAAAGUCAUUUAAAGGUCAUAUUUGUGCAGUUUGGAAUAGUUAAAGGUCAUAUUUAUGCACUGUCAAAGUUUAAGGUCAAAGUUAUCAUUUGGUAUCAAGUUUAGAGUUAUAUUUAUGUAUUAUGCCCUUAGAUUUUAAGUUGGACGCGCCCAGUUUUGUGUGUUGAACACGCAAAUUGCCACGUAGGAUCAGAGGUCAUAUUUGUGCAGUUUUGAAUAGUUAAAGGCCCUAUUUUUCACUGUCAAAGUUUAAGGUCAAAGUUAUAAUUUGGUGUCAAGUUUAGGGUCAUAUUUAUGUAUUAUGCCUUUAGAAAACCGAUUAAAACUUUAGCCUAAAAAAUAAAAUGGCAAAAUGAUCUUCUGGACCCCUGUACUAUGUCGGUUUUGUAAGUUGGACACUUCUAUUUACAUGUUUGUCAUCUGAACUCUUUAACCCAUUAAAAAGUAACAUUUUGCAUCCUUUGACCAUUGACUGAGCCCAUGUGGCAUUCAAAUGCUGACUAGGACAAAGAGAGUGUAGUCACACGCUUGGGGGUGCGAGUGGGGGUCAAUUUUUGAUCAAUUUUAUAUUAAAAUAUUUUUUCAAAAAAAAAGUGGCACUCAAUUUUUUUCAUUUUUUUUAUUUAAAAAUAUUUUAAAAAAUUAAAAAAUAAUAAAUUUAAAAAUAAAAAAUAAAAAAAAGGUCGCCCCCAACCCUCUCCCCUAAUCCAGCCACUCCCUCACUCCACCUAGCCCAGUCCCAGCACCUCCCGCCCAUCCCAGCCUUGUCGCAGCACCCCCACCCCACCCAAUAUUCCUAACCCUACCCAGCCUCAUCCCAGCACCCCCUACUUGAUACCAACAACAAUGUACAAAAAAUUUACUUUCCUUAGCAUCUCUACUUCACCAUUUUCCCUCAAAAAAAUUCAAACCCUCUAUUGAUGCCAACAACAAUGUACAAUCGCCCUCCCCGUCCCAGCCCUGUCGCAGCACCCCCACCCUACCCAGCCCCGUCCCAGUACCCCCAACUCCACCCAGCCUCAUCCCAGCACCCCUCAUUUGAGACCAGCAACAAUGUACAAAAAAUUCACUUUCCUUAGCAUCUCCACAUCACCAUUUUUCCUCAAAAAAAUUCAAACCCUCUAUUGAUGCUAACAACAAUGUACAAUCGCCCUGCAUUGUCCAUCUUUCACUUCUCCAUUCGAACUCAAACAAGCCAUUGCCUUCUUCAUCAAAAGCAACAAACGUCUCUCCCUCCUUCCCCUUCCUUGUAUUGCUUUCAUUUGCGCACUCACUCCUCACUUUUCCUUUGCACAACAAAUCUGGGCAAUCCCUGAAGAGGGUCUUUGCUUUUUUUUUUUUUUGUCAAUUCUUUAUUGUGGUUGAUAUUGUUGUUAUUGUUCAUUGUAAAAAAAAAAAAUUGAAUUACCCAAAUCACAAAAAUUUCAAAGAAAAAAUAAAAAUUGAAUUUUUACAUUGAAUUUCAAGUUUCUCAAAUUAUCCAAAUCACAAAAAAUUCAAAGAAAGCAUAAAAAUUGAGUCUUUGCGUUGAAUUUCAAAUUUCUUGAAUCACCCAAAUCACAAAAAUCUCCAAAAAUCUUUCUUUUCAUACUUCUUAAAUUUUUCGACCCUUACUUUUUAAUUUUUUCGUAGAGCAAGAAGAAUAACAAGAUGAAGAUGAUAAAGGAAAAGAAGAAUGAGAAGAGGAGGAAGAAGAAUAAGAAAGAAAAGAAGAAAGAAGAAAUGGAGAAAGAAAGAACGGGAAAGGCAGAAAAAGAAAGAAAAAGGGGAAGAGAGAGAAGGGGGGGAUUGUUUAUUUAUUUAUUUAUUUAUUUAUUAUUUUAAUAUUUAAUAUUUUUUAUAUAUAAAAAUGAUGUGGAAAAUAACGUGACAGAUGUGGCAGCUGACGUGGAGCGAGUGUAACACACUCACCGAAAAUAUUUUUUAAUGGGUUAAAGGGUCCAGAUGACAAACAUGUAAAUAUUUUUUAAUGGGUUAAAGGGUCCAGAAGGUCAUUUUGCCAAAUAAAAUACUAUAAUAAGUUAACUAACCUACAUAUAAACUAGUAGUAUAAAAAUAUUUACAUAACUAUGAUAUAAGUAAAUUAAAUCCAAAAGCUGUAUAUAUACACAUUAUAUACCUCAUGUGAUAAAAAGAUCAUUGAGUAAUCUUGCAAUGGCACAAGAAGCAGCAAGUAGCAAGUAUUGGAGGUUCAGUUGCUAACCAAAUCAAAUGCAUCUUUAGUUGCUAUCUCUCCCAUGCCUAAGCAGUAAGUAGUUGCAAUCAAUUGACAGCCACCUGAUGGAAUUCCAUUCUUUAUAUACUGUUCCGCUGUUGGCACUUCCCUCCCAUGAUACCAUUUUAUCUCUUGAAAGUAAAACCUCACCAGCUUUUUCAUUUUUUAAAAAUACUGGUAAAUAAUUAGUGAAACUUGCUAUAGUAAAGUUAUCCUAAAAAAUUUAGUGUGAUCAAGUAGUUAUAAAAGUCAGAAUGAGAUGAGCAUAAAUAGAACAAUACAUAGAACUUAAAUUGGUGAAAAUUCAUUUAACCAAUUACAACUUGUACGAAAUUACAAGUACAAUUUGACCAAUUUGGAUCGGGUUGGAAAAAUCGAUAUCAACCAAUGUAGAUUUUAGUGGACUAAAUCUAUCCCAAUUCCCAAUAUAUAUCUAUAAAGAUGGCAUUUGAUCACCUUGUGAUUGUUUUGAUUUCUGCAUGCAGCAAAUUUUUCAUUUAUCUAUGCAUUUAUAUAGCCAGCAUGGUAUGAGUUUUUCAUAAAAUAUUUCAAAAAAAAUACUCUUCAAAUUUAAAUUAAAUAUAUGUUUAGGAUCAUUCACUAAUAUUGUUCCAUCUAUUUGAAACUGUAUAGGCUGGAUACGAAAAAAUCUUUGGUAGAAAAUUCGAACUCCAAUAUGAGUUUUGGACAUAGGAUUGACAACCAAAAAAAUGUAUAGGUUUACAAAAAUAUUAAUGAUUUUUAAACAGGUGGUUAGUAAAAAGCAUUUUCAAACAAUUAUAAUAUUCAAGUUAACAACAUUAACGUGACACACAUUUGCAACACAUGUAGGAUAAACUAGUACUAGAUAAAUAUGUAACUCAUAUUAACAUUGAAUCAAGACCCAAUUUAUGGUUGACGUGACCUUAAAUCAAUUUAAGAAAAUUUUUGCUACUUUAUUUACAAGUACCUCUAUUAUGGAAUAGUUGACUAGAAAUGACUUGUGUUCAUUUGUCAAUUCUUUCUCGAUUUCAUUGUAAACAUCUAGAAGACCACUAAAUAAUCUUCAUAUAUGAUGGUAACUGUUUUGAAGUAUCAAUGUUUCAUUCAGUGAUGGAGGCAGGAUCUUUAUCAAGGGAUACUAUUAAUCUCCACAAAUAAGCGGAUUGGGUCACAAUAAGAGGUUCAAUACACACACAUGAAUCCCUUCUUAUAAGAAAAAUUUUCACUAUAAUGGUAAAAAUAGUUCAAAAUUUUUGGUUCUACUUCUAACAUACUUCGUCAAUAUAUUUAUAUUUUAAAAAACAAACCUGUCGAAGAAGUACUCCGCAAUCGCGUUGUCUGUGGAUAGUUCAACUCCCGUAGAGUAUCCAUAGAGCAGGACAAAAUCCAUGCCCUGUAGUUUGUAGCAGCAUACUACAAUAUCUAAAAUUAAGAAAGAGAUAGAAUUAGGAAAAAAUUAUCUUCUAAACAAGAAACAAAAUUACAAAAAUAUUGUCUUGGGUAUAUUUUGAAAAAAUAAAAUCAAGCAAAAUUCAAGUAAGACAUGAAUUAUUUUCAUCAAUUUGUGUUAACACAUGAUAUAUAAAUCAAAGAACAUAAACCACAACUCAUAAUCACUCAGAAAUUUCCUAAAAAUUAUAGAAAAACUCUUAAAAGUUUCAUUUGGGAAAUUUGACAAACACUUGGUGUGCAAUUCAAAUUCUUAUUAUUUUGAAUCUAAUUGAGUACUUAAUACUUCCACAAUCACUUACACACCAAAAUAAACACAACAUACAAAAGAUAAAUCAACUUCAAGCAUCAAAACAUGAAAGCAAUCGCAACCCAAUUUUUGACCCUAAACAAAAAAUUAAAGAGCAAUUUCAAUAAUUAAAGAAUAGAUUAGAGACAUACUUGAAGAUUUAGUGUAAAUGAAGAUGAAGAACACUUUGAAAGUACUUUUUAAAUUGACUAGUUUAGUUGUACGCGCCUCGCGCGUGUAUUUCACUUUAAUGAGUUCAAACGUUACACUAAAUAAAAAAUUUAUUUGAAUAAUAAAGAUGAAUACAAUAAUUAAAUUAAACAUCUUUUGAGUAUGUAAAGAUAGAGAAUUUAUUUAAUUAAACCUAACCUUUACCGAAAAUGAUUCUCAAAAUUGAUCGAUAUUCAUCUACCACCUGUAGACUGUAAUAAAAUAAUACGAUAAUAGAGACAUUAAAUGAUACAAUUAAAUCUAACUUUUACACUAAAAUUUCCUCAAAACGUCUGACACUCAUCUACCACAUGCUAACUAUAAAAAAUAAUAUGAUAGUAAAGAUAUCAAAAUAAUAUAACUAUACCUAAUCUUUAUACAAUAAAAAUUCUCAAGUCGGAUAUAUUAAAGCAAUACAGUUAAACUUAACCAUCACCUAAAAAACUUCUUCAAAAUCGAUCGACAUUUAUCUACCACCUGCAAACUACAAAAAAAUAAUACGAUAAAAAAGAUAUCUAAAUAAUACAAUUACAUUUAAACUUUACAUAUAAAAACUUCUCAAACUCGAUCGAUAUUUGCCUACAACCUGUAAACUACCACAAAAUAAUAAACUAAUCGAGAUAUUAAGACAAUACAAUUAUUAUACAAACUAAUAAUAAAAACGUUUAUUAAAUUUAUUAUACAAAGUCUGAUGGCUUGUAUAUAUUUAUCCAUACAUUGAUAAAAAAAAAAAAAAGAUAAUAUUUUACAAAAUAAAAAAAUCAACUACCUAACAUCUGAGCAAUGCAAGUGAAUCAAUAGAUCACUUAAAAGACAAAGGAAGAACGCAUUCAUUCAUCCAAAAAGAAAAGGUUAGAGCAUACCAAUUCCAUAUAAACCUUAAUGUAUAUAGACCGGCAAUCAGAUCUAUAUUAUUAAAGAUUUGAUUUGGGGAAAAUGUAAAAAAAAAAAAAAAAAGGCUUGCAUAUGUGUUAUUAAAAGACCUAAGCAUAUUGUGUGCAUAAAUUAAUAUAAAUAAUUAUUCUCUAGAUCUCAAUAUUUAUAGAAGUAUUUUCUUAAUAGAGUUUUAUUUUAGGAGUAUUUUUUUAGUUGACCGAAAAUAUUAGUUAUUGAUUCUCCUUCCAUAUAUUUUAGAGUCUCAUAUAUUUUAGGAGUUUAGUGUGAUAAAAAAUAAUUAAAUAAUAAAUUGAAUAAAAUAGUGAAAAGACAAUUUUGUCUAAAGGAAAGUCUUUCAAUGAAGCAUAAAAAGUUCAACUCACUUUUCUAAGUCUUUACACUUUUAAUAUAUAAAAAUAAUUGGGUAUCGGGUAUUUCAAGAAUUGAAGGAAGGAGAGAGUGAAACAAUGUUGAAACUUGAUAGUGCUAAUUUUUAAUUUAAUUCAAUUUGACCCUUUUCUGAAAGUGGGGGAAACGACAUCAUUUGAUCUUUAAAAAUAAACUUAAUGUGGGAAACAAUAGGGUAUCGAACCCGCAACCAGGGGUUCCCACGCAUGCAAAGUUGCACCCCCUUUGCCAUUGAGCCAUUAUUUUUCUUAUGGGUUCAGUUUAAUAUAUAUACACAUAGAAAAAAAAACUGCACCAUAUAUGUACAGUGCAUUUUUUCGACAAAGGGGGUUCGAGUGAACCCCUGAAUGAACACCACGCAGCUCCGCCCCUGGUUCCACCUACAUAUAUCACAAACAUCAAAUUCACUCAAAUCAUAUUCUACUGGGUAAAAGUGUGAUAACAAAAAUGUAGUAAUUUGCCUGUCAAUUGCCCCAGUGAAGAGAGUAAGUUCAUCUAGUGUCCCAUAAAUAUCAUAUGUGUCAUUAAUAAUAGAAGUGAAAUACAAAACUUUUGUUAAUAUUUUCCUCGCAAUGUUGUACUGAGGCUCAAAGUAGAUACUUAAACUCCAGAAGUAUAGCUCAGCCAAUCUGUCUCUUACAUAGGGUAAUGUAUUCACUAUUUUCAAUUCUUUCCACCACCUACAAUAAAUCGAAUGUGUGUUUAGUAGGCACACUUAAUUGGACACUAUUUGAUUUAAAUUAAUAUAUUGCGAAAAAGAAUGCUUAAAUUUGAAGUUGGAACAGGAUAUAAAUUUGGGAGCAAAGGUUCUUCUUGAUCAAAGUCAAUUUUUAACAUUUCAGCGAAGGUUAAUUACCUUGUGAGAUCAGAUAGCUCCUUUCGAUGCAACCUUUGCACAAUGUUAAAGUCUAAUUUGGCCAAGUUUAGUAACACUUGAUUGCUUGAUUCAUGAUUUUCUUGGUAAAAUGAUAUGUAUUUCCUUAUUUCUAUCCUUACCACACCAUCUUUAAUUGAAAACUUCAGCACGUUACCGAUUUGUUGUGCAAGUUGGGAAUUGCUCAAUUUAGGCAAAAUUAGUUUCAAUUAAGUGAUGGUGAAAGUCAGUGCUUCAUCCAGAAUUUCUUCCUCAUGCACUCUGAAUUGUGCUGCCUCAUAUAAACUCAACAUUCCAUGCACAUCGUUAACCAAUUUUUUCUUGAAAUCUCCUUGGUCGACCUUGAACUUCCUAAAAGCAUCUGCUUCAAAUUUUGGACGAAUUAGACUGAUCAUAUUUUCAUUAACUAAUUUUGUCAUCUUUUAAUUUGAAUGAUACUUACCACGUGAUGUAUAAUAACCUUGUUGCCGAAGUAAUCGAAAGCAUAGAGCAAUACCAUGAAGGUCAUCACCAGCAACUUCACUAAUCCAUUCUUCAUAAUGAGUGUUCAUGUAACUCAAUGAUUCCUCAAUCUCACGUUCAAAAUGAUAAGCUACACCAAGACGUUGGAUUGUGUUGAUGAGAUCAAGCUUUUGCAAAGAUUUUGGAGGAGCCAUCACUAGCAUCUUUCUCACUUCUUCUUUUAGGUCUUCAUGUUGCUUCUCGUCCACCUCAUUAGCUCCCUAUUUGGAAUAUAUUUGUUACUCAAAUGGAUUAAUUCUAACAUAUAUAUAUAUAUAUAUAUAUAUAUAUAUAUGCGAUAUAAAAAUUAUUUAUUUAUUUACUGGGAGAUCAGCAUAUGCAAGAAAAUGGUCUCUCCAAACAAUAGGAUGAUGAUUGCCAAAGCGACGUGUAAUUUUAAUUCUAUCAGCCACAACAGUUUUUGUGCACAACUCCAUUUUUUAGCUUGAAGGAGUUACAAAAACUGUUUGACAAAGGAAAUGAACCAAGAUUUGAACAAACAUGAGUUAGUUUCAGCCAAUGGGGUAGCUACACAGAUCGAAGGAUGGUCAAUUUGAAGAUCAUUUAUCACAAGAUUAUACUUUGUACAGAAAAAUCAUACAACAUAUAUAGGUCAAGAAUUACUUUUUACGUAUAUGUACUAAAUCUUUAAAAUCGAAAAAAUUUCUAAUUUUGUCAUUGGGUCGGCAUGAUGCAACCCUCAAAAGCUCCAUUAAUAUUUUUUAGAUGAUCUAGAAAUCACCUAGCUAGGCUCCUAGAGAGUAUCCAUAUAUACUUUCUAUUAGUAACUUUUUAAGAAGAAAAUUAAUAGUACUCCACUUAAUAAGCUACUUCUCUGCAGAAUUAAACUGUUACGUAAAAUUAUGAUGAUCUCGAUAAAAAAAAAAAAAAAUUAAAAAUAAGGAAUACCUGAUAAUGAUCUUGGCCAAGUUGCAAAUUAAAAUUUUCUUCAAUUUAUCAAUACACUGAACCAUGAUGAGAACUCAAUUUCUAUUUAUAAUGUUUUAGAACAUGUGGAGAUAUUGAUGAUGAUGAUAGCUGUACAAAUUAACAAUAUUGUAGGGAUCCAUCCACAUAGUUAUAGGGUGGGCUGGUGGUGGAAUAAAAACGAUGAUUUAAAGCAAAUUUUAUCCUUCCUUAACGAAAGAGUUUGAAUUUUAGUCUCAGAACGAAAAAUCUUGCUAGAUAGUAUUUUACUCUUAAGUCUCAAAACAAAACUAGUCUAAAAAUUGAAUUAAUCCGACGCAAAUACUUAACACUAAUUGGAAAUAAAAUUGGAGCCCCAAAAUUUAGGAGCCAAUAAUUGAUGUAUAAUCAUAUGUCUUGAAAAAUAAUAUGGAGAAUAAGAUAAUUACUAUUUAAUAGCUUAAAAUGAUGUGUAAAUGUAUUUAUAUGAAAAAAAGAAUACAUUGACAUAAUGAAAGAGGGUCUAGCGAAAAAAAAAUCUCUUCUAUACAUGAGAUACAUAUAGCACCUUAUUUUUUUGCCUAAUAUUUAUUUUAAAAGAUUAGGUAAAUUCAAUUAAUUUUACUGCCAUCAAUUAGUUUCGCAGUGUACUUCUUGAAUUCUAAUUAAUGAAAUUCUUUAAUGUUAAGAAAUGUCUAACCACUUUAGGUUAGUCAAAAAGAAUCAAUAAAAUUUAUAGUAUUACUAGAUAUCUUUUAAUUGUUUAGACGUGAUCGGUAUAGAAUUUUAUUUAAAUAUAAAGGUCAUGUUAGACAAAAUAUAAUUAGGGUAGUUAUUAGUUACUACUAUUUUUAUUUUUAAUUUGCUUUUAACAUUUUGAAACUAAAUUCAAAUUUGACAGAGUUUAUAGUUGCCAGUUUUCUUAAAAUUCAAAUUUUAAAUAUUAUAAAGAUAAGUUUUAGUCCUAAUAUACUGCUAACUUCUAUCUAUUUUUAAAAUUUAAAACUUAUAGAAAUUCUUACACUUUUAGAUUAUCCUUUAAUCUUUAAAUGAGAUUGUAAUUAUACUUUUGAUGUAAACCAAUUUCAUAUAUACAAAAACAGUUACAACUUCUACGAUUUUUUAUGUCUUAUGUUGAUCACCUUUUACACUAUUUAUUUCAAAAUCUAACAGCAUCUAUGGCUACGUGGAAUAACCAAGGUUCUAAGAAAAUUCUCUUGUAUAUCAAAAUUAUGCAUAUUGUAAAUGCUUCAAGAAGAAAUCUAUCAUUGGAGUGCCUUAUUUCUCAAAGUUCUCAAAGUUUCAACUUUCGGGUAUGAAGACAACAGGUAUAUGUUGUUAAGAUUUUGCUUAAUUAUUAGUUCUUUCAAGUUUAUGUCUAAAAAUGUUCAGAUCGUACAGUUUAUAUGGCAGUGUACCUAUUUUUUAUAUUUUGUUAAGAUUUUGUAUUGAUAUUCUAUGAUAUCGUCUACUUAGUAAUGGCCAUAGCCGAAGAUGUAGACACGUCAAAUUUAUAUUGCAAUACCUUUACUAAUGUUUCUACCAUAAAUCUUUUAUAUUUUUGCUAUCUAAUGAACUUGACAUUGCAUUGAACAAGUUUUAUGUUGAAAACAAUGAUGUUAUGAGAGUCAAUGACGAAGUUAGAGAUUAUUUUUUAGAUAAAUGUAACAUGAUUUUGCUUACGACUUAUUGCCUAUACUAGAGUGAAAAAUAUACUUAAAUUUGUAUAUCAUGAUGGAGUUAUCAGAGGAUCAGAAGCAUAUGACCUUGAUACUUGGUAGCAUUAGAAAAUAGAAGAUUUGAUUGUUGGGUUCAAGUUGAAUGUGUGAAUGGUAAAUGGAGGGAAUUGGUGGAGGAAAAAAAAAGAGAUCACGCUUAAAAGGAAAGUGUUCUCAAAAAUGGCCGCAGGUCAGGCGCAAUUCAAGCACAGACUGGGCACAGGUGACGUGACUGUUCAGUAACAGUGUAAUUUUUCCAGAACCAAUGCUUUCUUUCCAAAGGGACACUUAAUGACUAUAAAUACCUGACUUAUUCCUCAGGUAGAUACAUAAUUUUUGAGAGCUGAAAAAUACUUCUUGUCUUCUAAAAACUCAUUGUGAUCAUCUCCCGUUGAGUGAGUUCGAAAAAUCCAAUAGUUUGAGGUACCGCUACUGUGGAAUUGUGAGUCAUUUUAUCCUGGGGAAAAAAAAUUUGUAACCUCAGAUACUUGAGGGGAAUUAAUUCCUUAAGGACACUCUGUGUAAUCGGAGGACUUGGCUCAAAUUCUACUUCAUCUCUUUUCUUUAAAAUAUUGAUUAACACACUUUUAUUGAAAGGUCAUUUUGAUCUUGUGUUGAAGGUGUUGAGAAUUCUAGUUGUUCUUGACAAGUUUGUUCUUGAACUUAGUUGAAGUUUAUGCGAAGCAACAUAUAGAUUGUAUACCAAAAACAACAAUCUUAAGGAAUUAAUCUUAAUUUGUAUUGUUUGAUUUCUGGAGAUUAAAGCUUUAUGCUUUCUACUCUGUUUGAAAUAAACAAGUGAUUUGAAGAAAUAAAAACCUCAUUAUAAGUUAAAAGUCAUUCGAUUAACGUUUGGAAGACAUAAAAACUUCAUCGUUAAACUAGAAACUAUUUUUUGUAAGUUGCUUCAAACUUGUAAUUAGUAUAUUUUUAUACUAAAGUUGACUGUCUUUCUGUGAGGAAAAAUGACUACAAACGGUCAUGUGAAUUAUGAUGGGACAAGUGUGGCAGCAACAAAUAUUGCUACAACUAGUCGUACGAGUGCUCCGCAAGCAAUGGCACCAGGGGAGAAACCCAAAAAAUUCAUGGGUGUUGAUUUUAAAAGGUGGCAACAAAAGAUGUUCUUCUAUAUUACAACCUUAUGUCUUCAAAGAUUUACAUUUGAAGAAGCUCCAAAAUUGCCCGAAGAAACUUCGGAUUAGGAGCAAUUUAUUGUUAUGGAGGCGUGGAAAUAUUCUGAUUUCCUAUGCAGGAAUUACAUUCUAAGUGGCCUCCAAGAUGACCUAUACAAUGUGUAUAGUGGAAUGAAGACGUCAAAAGAGUUGUGGAGUGCGCUGGAAAGAAAAUACAAGACUGAAGAUAUUGGAACCAAGAAGUUCUUUGUUACAAGAUUCCUUGAGUAUAAAAUGAUUGACAACAAGUCUGUUAUAUCUCAAGUACAGGAACUGCAAGUUAUCAUCCACAAUCUCCUUGCGAAAGGUUUGGUUGCCACUUAUGUGAAAGGACUUCAAGAACUACUUGAAACAUAAACGAAAAGAGAUGACAAACAAAGAUCCCAUGGUAAGGCUGCAUUGAAGAAGACAACAAAUUUGCAGAAAGGAGGUCGAAAAGAAAUUCUGCAAUGAGUGGAGCAAACAUUGUAGAAGACGAUCACAACAACUCAAAAAAACAAAAACAAGUUGGACUAUAAAGCAAUCAACCUAAGAAGAAAUUUAAGGAAAAAUACUUUAACUAUGGAAAGAUUGGCCACAAGUCAACAGAUUAUCGUGACCCAAAAACAGGUAAAAAGAAAGACCAAACAAAUAUGGCUAAAUCCAAGAACGAAAUGGAUAAUUUGUGUGUCAUGCUGUCUGAAUGUAACUUGGUGGGAAAUCCUCGAUAAUGGUGGAUAGAUUUCGAUGCCACCCGCCAUAUUUGUGCAAAUAAAGAGUUGUUUGCUGCAUUUGCUCUGGUUUAAGGUGAAGAGAAAAUCUAUAUGGCAAACUCCACAACUACAAAAGUUGAAGGAGCAUAAAAAAUCUGCCUGAAAAUGACAUCAGGUAAAGUGUUGACACUUAACAAUGUCCUGUAUGUAGGGGUGUUCAUGGGUCGAUUUGGAUCGAUUAGUGGUUAAAACUAUAACCAAAACUAAUUUAGUCAGUUUUUGAAUUUCUAAAAACAAACCAAAUGACAAAAAGAAAAUAACCGUCGAUUUGGUUUGAUUGUUUGAUUUUUUCGGUUAUUGACUAGCCUACUUCAAUCAUCUCUAGAAUAAACUCCAUCUUUUAACCUAUAGAAAAGAGUAUCACAUUGAACACUUUCUCAUGAAAUAUUUGUACAGUGAUAGACAAAUGACACUAUAAACUCUUAAAAAUCAGAACAAACACAUUAAACAAAACUGACAUUGAGAUGAAAAACACCAGCUUUGUAUUGUAGGAACUAAGAUUAUCCAACAACAUACAAAUACAUACAUUUACAUUGUAAAACAGAGCAUUGUAUUUUGUUGCAGUGUACUGCAAGAAGAGACAGAGUUGGGCAAAUUUGAGUUAUCUGUUUACUUUAAAGACUAGCUAAGUGAGCUAAUCGUAUAGGAAAACAAUUGAAUAAACAAAGAGACAUAAAACUACCAUUUGAACUUGGGACCAUGGUAACUCGUAUUGUGAAAGUUGAAGUAGAAAAAGUGAGGUAGGGACCGUAGGGAUAACUUAUUGAGUAAUAGUAGGUAGAGUUGCCAAAUUUUGAGUACAAUAAAUUAAAAUAUCAAACGUGUGUGGAAUCAAAGUAUGCUAAACAUCUGUAUAAGUCCGUUGAAAGGAAUUCCAAUCCUUUGGACUUAUUAUACAUUGACAUUUGUGAUAUGAAGUCAACACCAUCUUGUGGUGGAAAAAAGCAUUUUAUAGCUUUUAUUGUCGAUUGCACGAGGUAUUGUUAUGUCUAUUUUCUAAACAGUAAGGAUGAAGCAAUAGAUGCGUUUAGGCAAUAUAAAACAGAAGUUGAAAAUCAGUUAGAGAAAAAGAUCAAAACGAUAAGAAGUGAUAAGGGUGGAGAAUAUGAAUAUCCCUUUGCAGAAAUAUGUGUAGAGAAUGAAAUUGUCCAUCAAACUACGGCCCCGUAUUCACCUCAAUCUAAUGGAAUUGCGGAAAGAAAAAAUUAAAUCUUAAAAAAAAAUGAUGAAUGUCUUACUUAUAAGUUCAGGUUUAUCGCAAAACUUGUGGGGGUAAGCUAUCCUUACAGCUAACCGAAUACUCAAUAGAGUGCCCCAUAGUAAAACACAAUUAAUUUCAUUUGAAAAAUGAAAAGAAAGGAAACCCAACUUGAAAUAUUUCAAAGUAUGGGGGUAUCUAGUGAAAGUCCAAGUUCCUAUGCCUAAAAGGGUAAAAAUAAGACCUAAGACAGUGGAAUGUAUGUUCAUAGGAUAUGCUAAAAGUAGUAAAGCAUGUCAGUUUUUGGUUAAUAAAUCCGAACAUCCGGAUAUAAAUAAAAUAUGGUAAUUAAAUCAGAUAAUGUUGAGUUCUUUGAACACAUUUAUCCGUAUAAAACUAGACAUGAACAAUCUAGUGGAGAGUCUAAAGGACCUCGAGAUGAACCAAGUAAGGAUAUACAUAAUGAUGAGAAUUCAAGACGUAGUACACGUCAAAAAAUGUUAACUUCGUUUGGAUCAAAUUUUAUAAUAUUUCUCUUAGAAAAUGAGCCUCAAAUAUUUAAAGAAGUGAUGAUGUCUUUAGAAUUAUCCUUUUGAAAAGAGGCAAUCAAUAGUGAGAUUGAUUCAAUCUUGAGCAACCAUACGUGGGAGUUGGUUGAUCUUCCUCCAAGAAAUAAACCUUUAGGUUCUAAAUGGAUCUUCAAAAGGAAAAUAAAAGUGGAUGGUAUUAAUGACAAAUACAAGGCAGGACUGGUCUUGAUUACUUUGAUACAUACUCGCCUGUACCAAGGCUAACGUCAAUUCGAAUGCUAAUUGCCUUGGCGACGGUAUAUAGUCUUGAAAUUCAUCAAAUGAACAUGAAAACAACAUUCCUAAAUGGAGAAUUGGAGGAAGAAAUUUACAUGAAAUAACCCGAGGAUUUUGUGGUUCCUGGUAAAGAAAAUAAGGUGUGCAAAAUAGUUAAGUCACUUUAUGGACUAAAACAAGCACCUAGACAGUGUCAUGCAAAGUUUGACCAAAUCAUGUUGGUAAACGGGUUCAAGAUAAAUGAACUCGAUAAAUGUGUUUAUCUUAAACACUCUAAAUCACAAGGUCAUUGUUUGUUAGUAUGUGGAUGAUAGGUUGAUCAUCAGCAGAGACAUUUCAGACAUAAAUGCUAUGAAACGAAUGCUUAAGAGCAAGUUUGAUAUGUAAGACCUUGAAGUUGUGGAUGUGAUCUUAAAAAUAAGAAUCCAUAUAUCUCCACAAAGGUUAGCAUUGUCACAGUCUCAUUACAUCAAAAAAGUACUUGACAAGUUCAAGUAUUUGGAAUUUGGUAUUGCCAAGACUUCAUUGGACGUGAGCUUUUCACUUCAAAAGAAUGAAGGUGAAAGUGACUUACAGUUGGAAUACGCAAGAGUGUUGGGACAUUUAAUACAUAUAAUAAAUUAUACACAACUAGACAUAACAUGUGCUAUUAGUAAGUUAAGUCGAUACAUGAGUAAUCCAAAUAAAACUCAUUGGAUGGCAAUGAAAAGAGUUUUUGGGGUAUCUUAAAUACACUCAAGACUAUGCUUUGCAUUAUAAUAAAUAUCCUGUGAUACUUGAAAGAUAUAGUGAUGCAAAUUGGAUCACCAGAAUAAAUGAAGUAAAAUCCAUGAGUGGACAUGUAUUUACUAUAGGUGGAGGAGCGGUCUAUUGAAAAUCAUCCAAACAGACAUGUAUUGCUUGCUCCAAGUGAAAUCUGAGUUUAUCGCAUUAAAUAAGGCCGGUGAAGAAGUUGAAUGGCUCAGAAAUUUCUUGGAAGAUAUUCCUUAUUGGCCCAAAUCAUUAACACCAGUAUGUAUUGUGAUAGUCAAGCGGCAAUAGGUAGGGCAGGGAGUAUGAUGUACAAUGAUAAAUCUCAUCAUAUAAGACGGAGACAUAAUACCGUUAGAGAACUUCUCUCUAGUGGAAUUAUUACUGUUGACUAUGUGAAGUCAAAAGAUAAUAUGUCGGAUCCACUUACAAAAGGCCUAUCUUGAGAGAGAGUUCAGAGAACAUCAAAGAGAAUGGAUUUACGGCCUAGGACAAGUCAGCAUGGCAGUAAAUCUACCUAGCAAACUGGAGAUCCCAAGAAGUAGGUUCAAAGAGAUCAAACAAAGUUAUGACUGGCAGUUCAACAUUGUCAAUAUACCCAAUCCAUUCUCAUGAUGUAGAUAAUGUUUUAGUAAACAAGGAUAAGGCUUAUGAUGUGAAGUUUUUUAAUUAUUAUCUAAAUUCGGCAGAUAUGAUCAAAUAGUUUGAGAAUGGUGAUAGAAAUACUAAGUUCUUCCACAGUAUUGUGAAAGGGAGGAGAAAAAUACUACAUUUGCAAAGGAUCCAAAACAAUGAGGGAAAUUGGUUAGAGGAUGAACAAGAUAUAGCAGCGAAAGCAGUUAAUGUUUAUCAGAUGCAGUUCUCCUAAGAAAGAGAUGCCACAUCUUUCUCACUUCUCAGACACAUUUCGAAAUCCAUCUGGGAUAAAGAUAAUGCAGAGCUUUGUAGACAACCUAAUUUAAAUGAAGUUAAAAGGGCUAUUUUUAAAUUAAAUGGGGAUAGUGCUAUUGGUCCAGAUGGUCUAACAGGAAGAUUCUAUCAAAGUUGCUGGGAGAUUGUAGGGAAUGAUAUUCUCAGGCUAGUACAUGAUUUUUUAGGGGUAAUACACUUCCUAAAUCCAUUACUCAUACUAAUUUGGUUCUUCUACCUAAGAAAGACCAGGUACAUGCUUUUAGAGAUUUGAGACCUAUUAGUUUGACCAACUUCAUUAACAAGAUAAUCUCUAGGAUUGUUCAUGACAGGAUAGAAGUCCUUCUUCCCAGAUUGAUUUUUUGUAAUCAAUCAGGCUUUGUGAAGGUAGAAGCAUCAUUAAAAAUGUUCUAUUGGCUCAAGAGAUUUUCACUGAUAUUAGUAAGAGGUUUAAACCUUCCAAUGUUGUCAUAAAGUUGGACAUGGCUAAAGCUUAUGACAGAGUAUCUUGUUUUUUUUUUUAUGAAAGUUCUAAGGAAAAUGGUUUUUUCUAGAAGUAUUUGUUAAUAUUAUUUGGAGGCUAAUUUCAAAUAACUGGUAUUCUAUCUUGGUUAAUGGUCAAUCUCAUGGUUUCUUUCAUUCUACCAGGGGAGUGAAGCAAGGGGAUCUUUUGUCUCCUGUUUUAUUCAUUCCAUCAGCAGAGGUUCUAAGCAAGGCCUUAAAUUCCUUAUUUGAAGAUACUCAAUUUGUAGGGUAAGGUUUACCCAAGUGGAGUGCUAAUUUAAAUCAUCUUGCUUUUGUGGAUGACUCUAUUACAUUUGCUUCAACUAAUAAGUAUUCAUUGGAGAAAAUUGAGUCAAUUUUGCAGGAGUAUGAGGUUCAAUCAAGGUAGAAGGUUAACAAGGAUAAGAGUUCUUAUUACCUACCUCAAAAUGCAACAUCUAAUGUGAGACAAUUGGUGGAAAAGUGCACAGGUUUUACAAGAGGUCACUUUCCUUUGAUAUACAUAGAGUGUCUCAUAACCCAUGCUAGAAAAAGAAAGAACAUUAUGCUGAUCUUAUCAAAAGGGUUAAGACAAAGUUACAAGCCUGGAAAGGAAAUCUGUUAUCAUAUGGAUGCAAAGAGGUGUUGAUCACAAUUGUUUUACAAAGUAUUACUAGACAUGUACUUUCGGCCAUAGUUCCCCCUAAGUGUGUUAUCAAGGAAUUGCAUAAAAUCUUUGCUAAAUUCUUUUGGAGUAACAAGGUCGCUGGAAGGAGAAAACAUUAGGCUGCUUGGGAUAAAGUUUGCUUGCCCAAAUAGAAAGGAAGAUUGGGUUUUAAAUCUUUUUUUGAUGUCUCACAAUCCAUGUAUGCUAAGAUAUGAUGGAAAUUUAAAAUAGAGAACACCUUAUGGGUUAUAUUUUUGUGGAACGAGUAUUGUAAGAAACAAUUACCUUCAGUGGUUCAGUGAAGGGAAGGUUCUCAACAGUGGAACUAUAUGCUACACAAUAGAAACUGCAUUGAAAAACACCUAUGGUGGGAACCUAAGGGAGGUUCAGUAACUAUUUAGUAUGAUAAUUUAACAAUGCUUGGUCCACUUUAUAAUCAUCAAUCAGAGGUGGUUUCUUGUCAUCUUUUGACAAAAAUUGGAGUGUUUAUGAAUGAAGCAGGCUGUGACUAUGAGGAAAUGCAAAAUCACAUACAUUCCCACAUUGUGGAUCAUGUUAGAAAUCAUAUGGAUCAUGUCAGGCAAUCUGAGAUGGGGGAUAAACCUUGGUGGACUAAGACAAGUUCUGAAAAAUUUUUAGUAAAGAGUGUAUGGGAAACCUUGAGAAAAAAGGAUGAAGUUGUAAAUUUUUUUAAGAAGAUCUGGGUGAAAGGACUUCCUUUUAAAAUUUCAUUCUUUGGGUGGAAAGUAUGGACUAUCAGGUCCCUGUUGUAGCAAUUUAGGCUAACGAGAACCCUAAUAUCUAUCAAUUUUAUUCGUAUUGUUCAGUACCAACUAGAGAGACCAUGGAACAUCUUUUUCUAAAUGGUGAAAUAGCUACUAAUGUUUGGAAUUAUGUUUCAAAUAUAGUUGGUAUUAUUGGUCCUCGGAUUUAAGUAAAACAGACCAUGAAAAAGUGAUGGGAUGCAUAUGGAAAUUCUAGACAAAAGGUGAUCUUUCAAGCUAUUCCUAAUAAUGUUUUAUGGUUUAUAUGGAAUAGGAGAAACACAGUAUUACAUGGAAGAUUAUAUUCUAUAUGUAAUGUGUUGCAUGAUAUUAUCACUACUCUUCAGAAGUUUAUCAAAUUGAAGUUUCAAUAUAAUGAGAUUCCUAGAACUUGGCCUUAUAUGGUAGCUUUGCUUGAUGGUUAUAGGCCAAGUUUUUAGUGCAAAUUUGUAAAAUCGUUACCACCACCAGCUGGUUGGUGGAAAUGUAACACAGAUAGGGCCUCAAGAGGUGAUCCAGGUGCUAGUUCUGGAGCUUUUUGUGUAAGAAAUAGUGAUGGUGAUUUAGUGGGUACAAAGGGUUUGAAGAUUGUUGAUUCAAAUAAUCUGGUGGCUGAGGCUAUGGCUUUAGUGCAAAUUAUUAAUGGAGUUUGGGAAUUCCCUUGGAGUGUGACAAUGGAGGUCAAGACCAUUAAAAGGCUUAUCGAGGUUAUGUCAGUAAGAGUACAACACUCCUUGAGGGAGGGAAAUACUCUUGCUGACUAUUUAUAUAACCUGGUUUUUGAUUUUGCAGGUAUAGUUGAAUACAGGAAUUUCAGGAAGUUCCAAUUAAAGGAAAAAGGAUUAUCAAUCUUGAUAAUCUAAGUUUACCAAAUAUGAGAAUCAGACACUCUAUUACAAAUUUCAUAUCUUAAAUAGUCAUAGUCUAUGGUACACUUUUGUGAUAUGGAUACUAAUGCUGAGUUUAAAAGAACGAACAUACUAAUGUACUUUGUGAAGUCUGAAUUAAUUUCGGUUGGUUACUAGACCAUGCACCUUGUGAGAGCUUUGAGGUGUUACAUAUGGUAUGAAACCAAGACUCACAAGUCAAUAGCAGGAGAUUUUUUAAUAAUUCGUUUAGUAUUUAUACACUUAUGUCAAGAUCUAACUAAUUCACUCUAGUUUUGAGGCUCUUCACUUAAAUGGUGGUAUUAAUCUAUGUGGGUUCAAUUCAUUAAAGAAAAGAGUGUAAAGACUAGGGUGUUAGUACAGAUUUGCAGAUUUCCAGUUGUACCUCUAUUUCCACUUGAAGAUUUUAGCUUGGUACUUUGACUAGCAUGAGUAGAUAAAUCCUAAUAGCUUGAAGCACCUCAAUCCAAUCUCAGAAUUUUUAAAAAUUAGAUAAUUUUUCGAGGAUUUAAAUGUCAAUGGUGGUAUCAAUCUUGUUUAGGGAUUCAACCCAUUGAAAUUUAGAUCUGAGAAAAAGAAUCUAUAUACCAUAACCACAAACCUAAAAGUUGUGUUUUAAGAGUCAAUUGAGGUGAUGAGGUUGAACAGGUUCAGUGAACAAAUCUGAUUUGUUUGAUUUCUCAGAUUGGAGGGCAUAGUUGAAGACGAAACACUUUGUAGCUCUUUUACAUAGCUCCGAUUCAUGAUGCAAAUUUGAGUUUUGAGCUUGGAUGUGUGAUACGAAAUUGAAAUACGAAAACUAAAGAUGAUACAAAAAAGUAAAUGUAAUUGAUAAGAUAGAUAAUUAGACACAAGAAAAGAAGUAACCAAGAACAAAAAAGUAUGUCAAACUCUAAUACCCUCAAUUACAAUCUAAUCAAAGACCUAAUUACUAGGUGACCAAGAGAGAGAUGAACGCCCUCUAAACCAACGUUUCUAAACAAAGUUCAACAAAAGUUGUCCAAUACUCUAACUCAAUGGAGAAGCAUUCAUCAAUGCAUCAAUAAUCAAGCAAAACAAAGAGAAUGAGCUAGCCUCAAAAGUAUUUACAGUUUAGGAUAAUUAUUAUAAUUUUAGGGCCCAAAAGUGACCCAAUUUCAAGAUAAGUCCAACUAGGGGAUGUUUUGAUCCGCUCUUGAAAUGCUAGAGCGGAUCAAAAACGGAUCCAAAGCGCCUUGGGCACAAGUCCUUUUCAAGGGGAUUUCUAGCCCCACUUUGCCUUCGCUUGCCUCCUCCAACGAUCCUUGGACCAAUGUGAGUGCGAUCAACAACAAAUAACACCCUUUUGAUUGUAAGGAGGCUUCUUCAAGUACCUCCCGCUUCAUGAACAAUCCUUGGAUCCUUUGAAGCUCCCGGGCUUAACUUCUGGUGAAUGGCUUGGAGCUAAUCCAGAUUGUAUCAUCCUCUCCAUCUUGAGAAGAUUUGGACCUCAAAUUCAAAGGGUGAUUAUCUUCUAUCAUGUCAAAGAGUGAAAUAUCACACACAUUAAAGGUAUUGUGUACUUGAUAUUCCAAAGGAAGGUCAAUCUUAUAGGCAUUGUUGUUUAUCCUUUCAAGAACUUGAAAUGGACCAUCACCUUGAGGAUCAACUCAGAUUUUCUUUGGGUUGGAAACCUAUUCUUUCGAAGGUGUACCCAUACCCAAUCACCUGGUUCAAGCACAAGCCGCUUUCUUUAUUUGUUUACUCUUUUGGCCACCUUGUGAUUUUCCUUCUCAAGGCAAAUUCUCACCUUCUCAUGCAACUUCUUCAUGGUUUCCUCCCUCUGAUAUCCAUCUAAUCUUAUCACAACAUCACUAGACAAAGGAGUGAGAUCUAAAGGGGCAAGGGGGUUGAAACCAUAAACACAUUCAAAGGGAGUCAUACCAAUAGCCGAAUGGAUAACACGAUUAUAAAAAAAUUCAACUAGAGGUAAGUGGUCUUCCCAAGAGGCCAUUUUUCCUUUAACUAAGGUUCGCAACAUAGAACCCAAGGUUCUACUUACCACCUUUAUUUUCCCAUCCAUUUGUGGGUGGCAUUAUGCUGAGAAAAGAAAUUUAGUGCUAAGCCUAGCCCACAACGACCUCCAAAAGUGACUAAGGAACUUAGAGCCCCUAUCACUAACAAUGGUCCGAGGAAUUUCGUGUAUUUUGACAACAUGCUCAACAAACAAAGAAGCCAUAUUAUAAGCAUCAUCAAUUUUAUAGCAUGAAAUGAAAUGGGCCAUUUUUGAAAACCUAUCAACCACAAUAAAAAUGCAAUAUCUACCCAUCCUUGUCCUAGGUAAUCCCAAAACAAAAUCCAUAGAGAUGUCAAGCCACGGGAGUUGAGGAGUGGGUAGUGGGGUUUAUAAUCUUUGAGGGAGAAGGAGGGAUUUCGUACUUCUACAAUCCAUGCAUUGGCCAUAAAUUCUAGCAACAUCUUGAUGCAUCUUGGGCCAAUAGAAUUGUUCCUCUAGGAUUUCAAGGGCUUUGUCAAUUCCAAAGUGACCUAUCAUACCCCCAUCGUAUGCCUCUCUUACAAAUAAUUCUCUCCCUGAGCUAGAGAGCACACACAACCUUCUUCCUUUCAACAAGAAACCAUCAAAAUUGGGGUAGGGUAUAUAAACACUAUCCCUCUCCCACCGUUCCCUACCCCAUGUCUCACAAUCUUGAUAGAUUUGAGAAAAUUUGGGGUCCUCGGGGUAAAUUGUCUUUAAACUUUCAAAUCCCAUCAAUUUAUAAGACGAUGUAGAUAUAAGCACAUGUUUUCUAGACAACCGUCGACUACCACAUUUUUCUUUCCCUUUUUGUAAUGAAUUACAUAAGAAAAAGUCUUUAGGAAAGCAAUCCACUUGGCAUGUAUUUUAUAGAUUUUAUCUUAGGCCCGGAGAUAUUUCAAGGAUUUAUGAUCGAUUCGAAUCACAAACUCCUUGGGCCAUAAAUAAUGUUGCCAAUUACGCAAGGAUCUAAUCAAGGCAUAUAACUCUAGAUCAUAGGUGGAAUAAUUUAGAGCUGCACACUUGAGCUUUUCACUAAAAUAGGCAAUAGGUUUAUGAUAUUGCAUUAAGACGGCACCUAUUCCUACCUUACUUGCAUCACAUUCAAUCUCAAACAUCUUAUCAAAAUUGGGUAAUUGCAAUAAGGGGGCGGAGCUAAGAAUAGCCUUCAAAGCUUCAAAUGCAUUGGCUUAAUCAUCACCCUAUUUAAAAGGUUUAUACUUAUGGAUUACCUAGGUCAAGGGAGUGGCGAUGGUACUAAAUUCUUUGACAAAUCGCCUAUAAGAACUAUCCAACCCAUGGAAGCUUUUUACUUCACCAAUAGAUUAUGGAGUUGGCCAAUUCUUGUUGGAGUCUAUCUUAGAUUCAUAUACCUCAAAUCCUCUUGGGAUCACAACAAAUCCCAAGAAAAUAACUUUAUUCACACCAAAAGAACAUUUUUCAAGAUUAGCAUACAACUUCUCUUUUCAAAGAACUUCAAACACACCAUGCAAAUGUAAGACAUGUUCUUCAAGGGAUUUUCUAUAAAAUAGAACAUCAUCAAAGUAUACCACAAUAAACUUCCCUAUGAAUGAUUUUAUCACAUGUUUCAUCAACCGAAUAAAGGUACUAGAAGCAUUGGUGAGGCCAAAAGGCAUGACCAACCAUUUAUAUAGACCAAACUUGGUCUUGAAUACGGUCUUCCACUUAUCACCCGAUUGCAUCCGAAUUUGGUGGUACCCACUCCUAAGAUCUAUCUUAUAAAACACACAAGAACCAUUCAUAUCAUCAAGCAUAUCACCUAAACGGGAAAUUGGAUGGCAAUACUUUACCAUUAUUUUAUUAAUGGCUUGCAAUCAACGCACAUGCACCAUGUUCCAUCUCUUUUUGGCACUAGCAACACCAGAACUGCACAUGGACUCAUGUUUUCUUUGAUGUAUCCCUUGUUGAGAAGUUUCUCAACUUGCCUUUGGAGCUCUUUUGUGUCCUUUGGAUUACUUCGAUAGGCUGGUUUGUUGGGUAAUUGAGAACCCAGCACAAAAUCAAUUUGAUGCUCAAUUCCCUAAAGUGGGGGUAAUUCUUGGGGAAGCUCCUUUGGGAACACAUCUCCAUAAUCCUGCAAAACAAGAGAACUAGAAUGAGGGAUAAAAGAAGUAGAGUGGUUAGCAUGAAAAUCAUGGGCUAGGAGGAUCAUGGGUGUUUUGUCAUCAUGAUCUUUGAAAAGAUCUUUGUUCCUAGCCAACAUCACCAAAGGACUCUCCCCUUUCAACCUCCUCUUCUCCUCUUAUUCAUCCUACUCCUCAAUUUGGUCAUCCUUCUCACCUUGUUUCUUACCUUUCUCUUUUAAUUCUCUUAAUUUUUGGUGACCCUCAUUUAAUUUAGAUGGCGAAAGAGUAUGGAGAGUGAAUUUUCGACCAUUAAACUCAAAAGAGUACCGAUUAGUCUUCCCAUUAUGCUUUCUUGAACGAUCAUAUUGGCAUAGUCUCCCAAGCAAGAGAUGACAAAAUUGCAUAGGUAUCACAUCAUAAUGCACCUUAUCAUGAUAAUUCUCGACUUUGAACCGAAUCACCACUUGCCUAGUCACCUUCAACUCACCAUAAUCAUUUAACCAUUGAAGCUUGUAUGGGGUGGCAUUUUCGGUUGUGGGCAACAUUAAGAAAUCAACCAAAGUUGCACUAGCCACAUUUGCACAACUUUCGCUAUCAAUGAUCAAAGAGCAUACGUUUUCCUUUAUAAGACAUUGAGUAUGGAAUAGAUUCUCCCUUUGACUAAGGUCAUCUAUAUCCUUACUAAUCAUUGCACGCUCCACAAUAAAAUUUGGCACCUCAUACUCUCCAUCUUGAGGCCAAGCAUCUUCAUUAUCCUCCUCUACUUACUCAUUUUCUUGGGAUCCUUCUCCAUCUUAGGCUUUUUUCAUUAUUCUCAUCUUCCAAUCCCACCUCUUCUCCAAGGUAAUAUAAUUUUCCUUCCUUAAGGAUUAUAUUUCUCCAGUUGUACAUUUACUUGCCUUAUGUCCCCACCCUUGGCAUUUAAAACAUUGAAAAACUUUUGGAUUGAAAAUAGAAUAUUUGUUACCUUCAUUCCUUGGCGGGUACUUUGGAGUGGUCUUCUCUACGGGCCUCUUGUCAUUGGACUUGUAGCCCUUGUUCUUGUUCCAUCCCGAUAGCGAUUGGGCUACCUCUUUAUUCUUACUCCAAGUAUUAGUAGAUGAGUACUCUUUAAGUUUGUAAGUUGCCCUUUCUUUGAUAUCCCUCUCAAUCUCCAAGGCCGCUUAGAAGAUUUCUUCUAUGGUCUCAAACUUGUAGAUAGUCAUGCAUGAGGAGAUAUCUUUGUUCAAUCCAACCUUGAAGCGUAUGAUGUCAUGAUUCACGUCCUCUCGAUGGUCGAGCUUUAAGAUCAAUUAUUGGAAUUCAUCAUAAUAAGCCAUAACACUCUUUCUACCUUGCCUCAAGUUGUACAAAUUGGCAAGUAGCUCAUGUCUAUACCUUUCCAAAACAUACCUUUGUCUCAUGAAUACCUUCAACGCAUCCUAUGGAGGGGGUUGUCCUUCAUUUAACACAUUUCCAAAUCUCUUGACAUAAUCCCACCACGUAUUGGCAUCCCCUUCAAAAUGGGCUAUGGCAUAGCAACUCUUCUUCUCUUCGGUGAUAUCAUUAACUUGGAAGAUCCUUUCACAAAAGGACUCUUAUGAGAGAUAAGCUUCGGGAUCACUUUUGCCUUUGAAAGUUGGAAGACUAACCUUGAUUGAAUUUAUACUCACAUCUCGAUCCCUAUUACCUUGUUGGUUCCAUUGAUCAUAACCUUGAGGUCGGUUUCCUAAGUUUCCUCUAUGAUUAGGUGCAGGACCAACUCUUUCUCCUCGAUCUCUAUAACCUCGUUGAUCCAUUGGUCUACUUCUUAUUUCCUAUACCAAUAUGUAGACUUCAUCGAAUGCUUCGAACUUCGCUUAUUGUUCUUCCCUAUAUUCCUCAUCUAAUUGGAUGGGUUGGUUUUGGUUAAGGGGUGCUUGGAAUGGGGGAAUUUGGUUAAGUGGAGGUUGGGGUAUUCGGGUUUGAGAUUUAUCAUGUUGUGUUUGGUUGAAUUGAGGUUGGAAUGGUCAAACGGAAUUUUGGUUUUGUGUAUAUGUAGUGGCUUGAGGAACGGAAUCAUGUGCUUGUAUUGGUGGAUUGAUCAUUUGGUGACGGUUUUUUGAGGAAAUAUGAAUCGAAGGAUUUGGAGCAUGCUCACUAGUUGAAGCAUGAAAGUGUUGAGGUGUGUAUAGGGAUGUGUUUUGUUGACCUUCCACAAUAUCCAUUCUUCCACCAAUGAGGGAUACACUCCCUUCAAGAGAAUCCACCUUAAGAUCAAGUGAAUUUAUCUUGGCGUCCAUAGAAUCAAUUUUACGAUUGAGAGUUUCAAUGGCCGCUAAAGAUAGCAUUUGUUGAGUGGUUAUCCAUGGUUUGUGGAGUUUCGCCUUCCGUAGUCAUUGUACCUAUGAAUAAAGACACUCAAAAAUAACAAAAACUUUAGCGUUAGAUAAAUUAACCUCACAAAAUCUUCAUACCUUUGUUUACCUCACACUUAGAUCACAAAUGUUGAAAGAUGGUUUAUACUUCGUAUGGUAAUCGAGGUGUCAAGUUCUACUCUUGAUCGGAUUGGAUUCCUAUUUGGUGGACUCAAAUAGAGAUGUAAGGACUUGGAUUAAGAAUUAACAAUGAUAAUUAAAGAGAAAAGCUUGAAAGAAAUGGGACAAUGAAUGCAUUCGGACUCAAGAACUAAUUAUCCAACUUAGUAGGUGGAUUACUAGUUGUUGAUAGUUUUAAGAAUCAAGAGUUGAAUUUAUGAAUCAAGAAAUAAAAAUAAGGAAUCAAACCUGAGUAAAUUGGAGUUUAGAAGUGUUAGAAUGCAUUUGUAACUUGAAUUGGAAAUUGGUAAGGCUUGACAUACGUUUGGGAGGUGUCACACACCUUGGGCGCACCUCUAGAGCACUUCCAGCUCAGGUGGGGAAGGCUGCUCACUAUUUUGAGAUGUGGCAGCAGUUCCAACGCACCUCCAGUUUAGGUGGGAUGUAGGAGAGCCCCUAGACACUGACUUGAGGUGUGGCAGCAGGCUGGGAGCAGCUGCAGUACACCUUGGGCGCAGGUCAAGGGCAAGUUGGCCGCCCCUUGCUUGUUCCAAGGCCAAAAAUGCCCUUCUUGAUGCCCUUUGUGUAAUUUUCUCUUGGAAUAUUCUUGAAAGCUUUUUAGAUGCUCAAAAAAAAACAUACUUUAACUCUUUUUCUUCCUUCUUUUUGGAUCAAACGCCUUCUUUUGGAUGAAUUUUCAAUAUGAAUAUAACAAUAUCCUUAAGAACACACCAAGAACACCAAGAACAUCAAUCUUUCCAACUUUUUCUCUAGAGCUUGGAAUGAGUUGAAAUUUUGAACGUAGGUAAUUCUUAGCCUUCUAAACUCAUUCCAAACAUCAAUUUCUUCAAAUUAUUCACCAAAAUCUUCAGAUUUUCAAUCCACUUCAAAUGUCUUCAACCCAAGCUUCCAACAAGGAUAGAACUCUCAAAUAAGCUCCGAUUUGACUCAAAUUUGAUUUAUAGACUCAUAUAGUGUUAGGGAACGCAAAUCUAACACUAGAAAUACAAGAAAACACAAAAAUCAAAAACUCAAAAUAUGACCUAAGACCUAAAACGUGAAUAGUAAUUUUUUUGUGAUUUUUGAUUUUCUAGGACGACUAUACCCAAGAUUGACUUUGUAAGAACAAAAUUAAACUCGGCUCUGAUACCAAAUGAUACAAAAUUGAACUAUGAAAACUAAAGACGAUAUGAAAAAGUAAAUAUAAUCGAUAAGAUAGAUAAUUAGAAACAAAAAAAGAAGUAACCAAGAACAAAAGAGUAUGUCAAACUCUAAUACCCUCACUUACAAUCUAAUCGAACACCUAAUUCCUACGGUGACCAAGAGGGAGAUGAACACUCUCUAAACCAACGUUUCUAAACCAAUGUUCAACAAAAGUUUACCAACACUCUCACUCAAUGGAGAAGCAUUCAUAAAUUCAUCAAUAAUCAAGCAAAACUAAAAGAAUGAGCUAGCCUUAAAAGUAUUUAUAGUUUAGGCUAAUUAUUAUAAUUUUAGGGUCCAAAAGUGACCCAAUUGCAAGAUAAGUUCCACUAGGUGCUGUUUUGAUCUGCUCUUGAAACACUAGAGCAAAUCAAAAGCGGAUUCAAAGCGCCUUGGGCGCAAGUCCUUUCCAAGGGGCUUUCUAGCCCCAUUUUGCCUUUGCUUGCCUCCUCCAACGAUCCUUGAACCAAUUUGAGUGCGAUCAUUAACAAAUAACACCCUCUUGAUGGUAAGGAGGCUUCGUCAAGUAGCUCCCACUUCUUGAACAAUCCUUGGAUCCUUUGAAGCUUCCAGGCUUGACUUUUAGUGAAUGGCUUAGAGCUAAUCCGGAUUGUAUCAAUGUGUUUCUCCGACAAUAGAGUUUUGAGCUUGGAUGUGUCCGUCUGUUAGAAUUAUUUGCACAUAUAUUUCAUCUGUUAGAAUUAUUUGCAGAUAUCUUUACUUUUCUAAUUAAUUAAUUAGGUGCACUUAGUUCCUUUUCCUUUGCAUUGUUUCUAUUUUCCCUUGGACUUUUGGCACUCUAGGUCACUUGCAUGUACAUUUGUUUUGAUUAAUAAAGUGGCCCAUUAGGUCAUUUAUUAAAAGAAAAAGUUUAGUCUAUAGGAUUGAACGUUUAGAAAUCACUUAUGUGAGAGUGAAGUGGAAGCCGCUUCAAGGAGAAUGAUAGUAAAGGACUAUUCUCUACGCUCUCCUGAAAUCAAGACGUGUUCAUGGCUAAAACGAACCAAAAUGUGAGAACCAUAAACGGUAAAAGGCUAGUUGUGUGACACGUGUCAUCUAGUGUACAUUAAAGCUUGAUGGUUCAAAGAUAUCAAAUCUACCGAUUGACCAAGUGCAUCCGAUGCAUGUUCACUACGGAAAGUUCAAAGGAAAACCCACUUAUCCAGAUACAAUUAGUCUUUGCUAGAUUGAUCACAUGUUUGUCCGUAAAUUCUUCAUAACAUAGUCAUUCCCCAUUUAUGUGGGAGAUUGUUAGGUUCAAGUUGAAUAUGUGAAUGGUAAAUGGAGGGAAUUGGUGGAGGAAAAAAAAUGAGAUCACACUAAAAAAGGAAAGUAUACUAAAAAAAUAAGAAAAGUCUACUAAUUCUCCCACAUUGGUGGGAUAAAAAAACUUUCCUGUGUUCUUAUUAAGAAACGCAUCUCCACAUGGAUAGUGAGGCAAGAACAAAGAGGUGUCUUGCAUCGCCGUCGUCAUCGCUCGCUCGACUCGGCUUUGGCUUCGAAUUUUUUAAAUGAUCGAUGAGAUUAAUAUUUUAGAUAAAUUUUAUUUAAAACUUGUAAAACAAGUGAUGUUUUAAUCUGAAAAUUCAAUGAAAUAAUUUUUUCCAUAUGCGUGCGCGUUUCAGAUGUCAUGCAAACGCAUGUGCAACGCAUCUCAAAAGGAAUGCGACCUUUAGAGAAAAAGAUAUACUGUUUCGGAAAAAGGGUGAUUUGAGAAUGCAGGUCAGGCGCAGACCUAGCGCAGGCUGGCUCUGGUCAGGCGCAGAAGCCACUAGAAUAGGCGAAACAUCACCUGUGGCCACACGUCAGGCGCAGUUCCAGCACAAAUUGAGCGAGGGUGACGUGACUGUUUAGUAACAGUGCAAUUUUUCUAGAAUCAAUGCUUCCUUUCCGAAGGGACACCUAAUGGCUAUAAAUACCUGACUUAUUCCUCAGGUAGAUACAUAAUUUUUGAGAGCUGAAAAACACUUCUUGUCUUCUAAAAACUCAUUGUGAUCAUCUGCCGUUGAGUGAGUUCGAAGGAUUCGAUAGUUGAGGUACCGCUACUAUCGGAUUGUGAGCCAUUUUAUUCUGAGAGAAAAAAUUCCGUAACCUCAGGUACUUGAGGGGAAUUAAUUCCUUAAGGACACUCCGUGUAAUCGGAGGACUAGGCUCAAAUUCUGCUUCAUCUCUUUUCUUUAAGAUAUUGAUUAACACACUUCUAUUGAAAGGUCAUUUUGAUCUUGUGUUGAAGGUGUUGACACUUCUAGUUGUUCUUGACAAGUUUGUUCUUGAACUUAGUUUAAGUUUAUGCGAAGCAACAUAUAGAUUGUGUACCCAAAACAACAUUUGUAUCAUCCAAAAUUUUGAAUUCUUACAACAAGAAGGUAUGGUCGAAAAAAUUGAUAGGUAAAAGUUUCAUGGUCAUAUGGAACGUAUAGAUGUUUGCUUUUCAAAUGGGAAACAUGAUCUAUUGUUAGGGUACUGCUCAAGUAAAUAGGUAACAAUUAAUUAGUAUAUUGUUAUUUUAUCAAUUUAUCUAUAUUAUUCAUUACUCAUUAUCUGCUAUAUCAAUUUUCAUCGUCAUGCACACAUCAAAUGGAUUCAGUUUUUAAUUAAAAAAAUAAAACGGAAUAUGCUUUGCAUGGAAUGACAUGAGAUAAGAAAAUAUAAUUUUUUUCCUUUGAAUGGUUAGUUAUAGCCGUGUAUGUAAGUGAUGUUUAAAUGCCACAAUAGCUAGCAACAUACUACUAUUUUGAUUAUAUUAUGAGUGUCUAUCAUAAACAACCUCUCAAUCUCUAUGAGGUAGGGGUAAGGUUUGCAUGUACUAUAUCCUUUCUAGAUUCAACUUAUGAAAUUACACUAGGUAUGUUGUUAUUGUUGAGUAGCAUUCAAAAAGAUCAAAACUUUGUAUUAAGGAAUUUGUGAAAAAAAAUAAGGGAGUGGCGCCUUCUUUAUUAGUUGAAACUUCAUUGAAACUUUAAGAACUAAACUAGAGACAUGAAGCAUCAAUUGCAAUAUUGCUUCCCAAUAUAAUGGUCUAUUGUGAUUUAACUAAAACCCAAUACUAAGUAUCAAACAAUUUUGAUAUCACUUUUCUUAAUUGAUUUUACAAUGUAUGAUCUCUUUUUAAUUUUUGGUGUCAAAUUUCAAAUUUCUUUAACGGAAAUUCUCUAAAAGGUUGCAAUUUUUUGAAAAUUUAAGAGUGCAACUCUUAGGGUAUAUUUUAGAGGAUUUUUCAUUCUUCUCUUUCGUCCUCCAUUGCCUGAUUGAAUUAACUAAAAGAAGUAGUAAAGAGUUCUUGAACCUUUGGCUCUUCUGUUUACUACUUUUGCAGAUUCAUUGAUUAUUUUAUAUCGCCUUUAAUUGUUUUCACUUAAUAAGCUAUGCAUGGAUAAGGUGAUGCGGCACAACUCUUGCAUUUUGGGAGGCAUUUUUUGAUAUUCCUACAUAUUGUUCCUUUUUGACCUCCCUCUUCGUCUCUUACAUGAAAACAUACACUAUUUUUCUCAGAGAGAACCUCUAAAAUUGAGUAUUGCAUGCAUGAGAAAACUAAAGUUGUAACUCUUCAACUUUAUGUAGUUAAGAUUGUGUUUUUUGUCGUCUACGUUUUUUAAAUUUCUUGAGUCUAUUUUAGAAGGAUUUGAAUUGUACUGGAUAUUAGCUCGAUUUCUGAUUUAGUGUUUUCUUAUCUUAAAGAAUUUUCUGUGAUCUUUUCAUUCGUCAACGUAUAUAUGAUCAUUUCUUUCUUCCCAUGCUAUACUCUUUUGCUUAAUAUGUUUUAGUAUAGGCCAAACACAUCGACAGACCCUUCAACUUGGAACCAUCUUACACUUUGUCACCUCAAGUGGACGUUGUUCACUUUUGGCACCUCAAAUAGUACACUGAUGUGUCAUUUUGGCACUUUUUGCUAAGUCAUCAUGGGGCGUGUGUUACACGCAUUUUAAGUACGUUUCAGGGGUAUUUUCGUAAUAUUUUCAUCUUUCUUCUCUUUUUUUCUCACUCUUUCAAUCCAUUAAUUUUCCACCAUUUUUUCCUUUUCUUAACACAACUAUACACUAAUUUUCUCUUCAUUGAUCGAAUUAACACACAUUAUUGCCACUACCUCACUCUUUCUCACCCACUUUUCUCUCCCUUUAAUUUGCAUGUCCCUCCUUUGAUCACUAUUCAAUCUUGAGCAACAGAAAAUCAACCAUUUAGUUGAAGAAAAUAUAUUGAACAUUAUGUUGGGGAGGGAUUCAGGGAAGGAGCACUAGAGAUAAAUGCAACUGAUUCAAAAACAGAUGAUAGGAGGAGCAAACGUUAGAAAUAAGAAUGGUGAUUUUAACAAAAAUCAAGAAUUUCUCUUCUUUAAGAAACAAGAAAUCAAGAAAUAAAAAUGGUUGUUUUUAAGAAACAAGAAUGGUUGAUUUUCCCUUGUGUUGAUUUUAACCAUUCUUGUUUCUUAAAAUGGGUUCCUUCUUAAAAUGAUUUUUUUGACCAAUUUAUUUUUCCUGAUACCAAAUUGUUGUCAAUUUGAUUGAAAAUUAUUACCAAUUUGGAUGGAGGGUGAAAAAUUAUUGUCAAUUUCCUGUCAAGUUGUUGUGAAUUUAAUGUCAAUUUGAUCGGAUUGUUGCAGCGAUAUUUGGAAGAUGGAGGUGGCGGCAAAUGAUUUAGGGGUGGUUGGGUUAAGAAAGAUGAUAUAGGGUGGGGGUGAGGUGGUUAAGAAGAUGAUAUAAGGUGGGGGUUGGGUUGUUAAUAUUUUCUUUUAUUUAAAUUAAUUAUAUAAAAAUUAUUUUUAUAAAAAUGAAUUGGUCCCUUUCUACAUCAUCAGCGCGUGUAAUACACGCGCAUGGUAUAUUUUUGCUAAUUCAGUAAAAAGUGUCAAAAUAACACACGCAUAUGCUACUUGAAGUGCCUAAAGUGAACAACGUCUACUUGAGGUGCCAAAGUGAAAGAUGAUGCCAAGUUGAGGGGCAUGUCGAUGUGUUUGGUCUUAAGUAUAACAUAAUGGUAGCUGGUAAGGAGUUCUCAUUUCGUUUAUUGAAUACUAAUAAAGUCCGUUUUAUCCCCUGUCUUAAUUCUAGAUUGUAAAUUUCUCAUCUAUAUUUGAAUCUACGAAAGUACCAUCAGUAGAAUUAUUUUGAACUCUACUUUGGUGUUACAAAUUGUGCUAGAAUUUCUCAUAAGAUUUCACCUGAAUUUUUAUUUAUUUUCCUUUUGAUAUUUCAACUAUAUUAACCAACCAUCCAAAUAUUAUUUGUCUUGGUGUCACUUCUGUAAACAUCUAGCACUAACACUAUUUGAUUUAUUAUUUUUCCCUUGGAAGAGUUGGCUAUCGGAGUAUGAAAAUUCGAAUCAGAUUAAUCAAUUUUAUCAAGUCGUAGGUUUUCUAGAACAUUUUGUUUUCACAAUUUUAGAAAAAAUGAUUUUAGUACUAUUUGCUUUAUUUUAGUUAGUUGAGUCAAGGUUCUUUCGGAAAUCGUCUCUCUUCAAGAUAGAGUUAAGAUUUGCGUACAUUCUAUCCUCCUCAGACCCCACUAAUUAUUAAAUUUCACUUAAUAUGUUGUUGUUAUUUCUUUUUUGUUGUAAGAAUUGGUGUAAUUUGUUUCGAGAAUAUGAAUUUCGUAACCAUUAAGUUGAUAAAAAAUAAAGCGUUUCAGUCAAUAUGUCUGCAAUGGAAUUAAAGGUAAUUGCAAUGGAAUUAAAGGUAAUUGCUUUGUUUAAUCAUCAAAUUUGGUAUAUCAACCUUUUUCUUACAAUUCAAUUAGUCACUAUAACUGCAUCCAAGGGUGUGGUCCAAUGAUCAAUGAUGUGGGUUGAGAACGUAAAAUUUCGAAUUCAAACCCCAACAGAGACAAAAAAACACUAGGUGAUUUGCCUUGGUGGACAGAACUACUUGAUAUCUAUUGCUGGUGAGAAGUGGCACGUAUCCCAUGGAUUUGGUCAAGGUGUGCAAAAGUUGGCUAGACACCACAAUUAUCAAAAGAUAUUAUUCUCUGUAAUUUAAUGUUUUUUGUUUUGGUUACAGGAGAAUUCAUGUUUGGUUAAACAACAUUGAAAGCAUUCCUUACAAUCUUCAAAUUUUUGGGUGCUAUUCCAACUGAAAAUUAGUUCUAUGAUUAUUUUUCUUGGAUUUGUUUGAAACCUGUUACUGGAUUUGGGAUGUGAUUUGAUUUAUUGGUGUAUGUUGCAAAAGGAUGUAAUUUUACAGGAAAUAUGUAUUCAAAAGAAUGUUCGAAAGUAAUGAAUAAGAUUUACAUCAGGUGAAUAUUUGAGUUUGUGAUGUGAUAAGUUUAUAUACGCAGCCAAAAUUUAAUUUCAAUUAAUUCUUUAAUACUUUCCGCGCAUCACACGGUACUAUAACAAUUUUUAUUUUAAAAGAUUAGGUAUAUUCAAUUAAUUUUACCGUCACCAAUUAGUUUCGCAGUUGUUCUUCUUGAAUUCUAAUUAAUGAAAUUCUUUAUUGUUAAGAAAUGUCUAACCACUUUAGGUUAGCCAAAAUGAAUCAAUUAAACUUAUAGUAUUAGUAGAUAUCUUUUAAUUAUUUAGACAUGAUCGAUAUAGAAGCUUAUUUAAAUAUAAAGGUUAUCUUAGACAAAACAAAGUUAAGUGACUAGUCAAAUGAUUCUUAUGUCACGAAAUAAAGUUAGAGCGAUUUCUGUUCAAGACAAAAUUUAUUAGUUGAGUGACAAUAUAUGAAAUCAAACUUGAGAAAAGCCAACUUCAUUAUAUUGACAACAAUAGAUGUUGAUGAUGUUGGUAAUACAUAGACUGAAUGACAUUUUUCUUGUGCUCUAUUCUCCCUAGUAAUACUUAAAACAUGGAUUACAGUAAUGUUGAUAUUAGAUACUCUCUUAGUGCUAAAAUAGUUAGAAAGAGUUUAGUAAUUCAAUUGUGAGGCCUUAAUUAGGUCUGUUUGAAGGAGUUUUGCCUAGCAAUUUUGAGAAGAGUCUUGUCAGCUACAACAAAAUAUGCCAUGCCAGCAGCUGUAGAGACAAUAAGGGCUUUUGCAGUUGGAUUCAGAUAAGUUCUUGCCCAUGGUGACAUCUUUCCAUAAGCAUACUGCAUGUUAAUUUCAUCAAUAUUUCAAAUAUUAGAAGUCAAGAACAUUGUCAUUGGCAUGAAAAAUAUUUUUCUAAAAAUAUUUUUUUCUAAGUGGUUAGCAAACAUUUUCCCAAGCCGGGAAUGUUUUAGAAACAACCUCUCUAAAUCUCACGAGCUAAAGGUAAGGUCUGCGUACGCUCUAUCCUUUUAGACUCCAACAGUAAAACUACAUUAGUUUUUGACGGAGAUCAUUUACUUCAUCAUAAUAAUCUUAACUCUUAAUUAUAUCUCAAUGUUUAACAUUAUUAUCUAUCCUUUAUGCCCCAUGGUACAAACAACACUCCUAAAUCUUGAAAAAUAUUGAAAUGUAAAUGUGUAUAUUAGAUCAAAUCUUACAGCUGGAAUGGCAGUAGCAAUAGAUGCAAUGACAGCUGCUUUUGCUCCAGCAAUUACUCCUUCUGCAUAUAUACAAAUCAUACAAAAAAAACAUUCAUCAUAUAAUCAAGUUAAUGGAAAAAUCUUAAUGGUAAGGUAGAAGCAAAGAAAGAUAAAGUACCAUGAGAGUAACGCUUAGCCAUAGCUAACUUUUGAUCCAUUGAAGCCAAACUCACACUCUUGGCCAUUUUACUUUUGUAUAAAAAAAAAAAAAUAGGAAUAAUAGUAAUGCUUUAUACUUUUGGAAGAAACAUUGAUGAGUUUGUGAGUGAAGUAAGAAUGAAUAUUUAUAGGCAUUUCAAUUUUAAGUUUGGACGAAAGUGUUUGAUGGUUUUGGCUAAUUUCCAAUGUACCAAAGUCACUUGUUUUUGCCUCAGUUGCUAAUAGUAUUAUAAGUUUAAUGUAUUUGCAGAUUACCAGGUUCUUUGUGUGGUUCAGUUCAUUGGACUUUGUUUGUUUGUCUGUACAUGAACUAUGACUGAAUUUUCUGAAUCUAUGGUUAUAAAAAUCAAGAAUAAUACUCUCUUAUUCCAAUUUGUUAGUACUACACCUGCGUAUCAUAUUAGUUGAUUGUCUUAUUAAAAUACAUAUCCAAAUUACUUAUUCACUUACUAAAUCAAGAUAAUAUUAAUUAACUCUUCUAAAAAAAAUAAAAAAUUGUAAAGUUUUAAAAAAAUAUUUAAAAGGCAAAUUAAUAAAAUUAUCCUUUUUAUUUAAAUGACUUUUGUCAUACCAAAUAUUGAUACAUGAAAUCAAGGAUAUCAGGUGGUACCAUAGUUUGGAGAGUAUAAUUUGCAAGUGGUUUUGGGAGUUCAGGAUAAAAAGCACUGCCAAAAGCCCAAAACAAUGGGUAAAAAGGGCAGUUAUGUAAGUGCGUGCUGUUUAGGAUCUAGUGCCUCAUGUUCAGCCUUAGUGAGAUAUAUCACCCUUUAUAACACCUGCCCAAAAGUUCUUUCAGGUUCAGUUGAUUUGGAGGGAUAGUCCACAUGGAUGAUUCGAAUUUAAUCGCUUCUUAGUAUCUUUUGAGUCGAGUCUGUUGCACAGGACUUGUCUAGUGCAAUUUACCUUCUUUGAGUUGUAGACACGUGAUUUUGACCCUCCCCGAAUUUAAUAUAUAUAUAUAUAUUUAUAUUUGAUUUGAUAUUAUUUUAAUUAUUAUUUUAUUUUUGGCAAAUUUUUAGUUAAUAAAUAAAUAAAUAAAUGAAAUUAAUCUCAGGAUAUUAUUUUAUUUUAUUCCAAUUUAAAAAAAAAUAAUACAAAGAUUUAAAAAAAAAUAUGUUUCUUUUUAAAUAAAUAAGUUAGUAGUUUUAGUACUAUCUUAAUUAUAUUUAUUUUUGGCUAUUUAUAAACUUUUAUUUUAUUUUAUUAAAUAUAAAAGUUAAUCAAUUAUUAGUAUAUUAUUUUUAUUAUUAUUAUUAUUAUUUUAUUUAUUAUUUUUAUUUUUAUUUUUCAUUAUCUUCUUUUGUUUUAAAAAAAAAAUUAAAAAUUUAAAAAUCUAAUCCUAUCCUUAACUACCUCAACCACCCCAACUUUCCCUCCAACUCCCUCAAUUUUCCCCCUCCUAUAUAUCUAUAUAACACAACAUAUGACAAAGAAAAAAACUCACGAAAAAAAAAACAAAAAAUCUGGAGAUAAACCAAAACCAAAACCAAAACAAAAAAAAUGGAAAAGAAAAACACUUAAAAAAAAAAAAGGACCGAAAACAAGAAACAGUGAGUGAAAACAAGAAAUAGUGAGAAAACCAAAAAAAAGUAAGAAAAGAAAAGUGUUCCAAAUAGUUGAGGCCGGGUCUCCGUUUGAGUUUCCGAUGACGAUAUUCUUUUUUUUUUUCGGUUUUAAUUCAUCACACAGGUUCAUAUCAAAUUUUGUAUUAUUUAUUUUAUAAGUUUUUGUUAUAAAUCGAAUUGUGAAUGAAUUUAUUUCAAUGGCUUCUUCUAUUAUUUAGUAUGUUUAAUUUAUUUAUUUUUUUGCAAUUCAUGCUUUAUGUCUUUAUUUGUAAUUCGUAUGUUGUUUUCGAAAUAAUGUUAGUUAGAUUGAUUUUGAAUUUUAAAUGAAAUAAUCUUUAAAGUUAUUUGUGUUUUAAUAUGUAAAAUUGUGUUAAUUGACAUGCAUUUAGUAUGUAGUUAUGUUAAAGAUCACAAUUAAUGAUUCAUGAAUGCAUGCAUGCAAGAAACAAAAAAAAAUGAAAUGAAAAACAUAACAUGUUAAGAAUAAAGGUUUUUUUUUUUUUCUUUCCUUUCAUGGAUUUAGAGUAAUGAUUUGUAGUUUUCUUUUAAAAAAAAAAAAAAAAACGACCAAGAGAGUUAAAAACAAAAGCACGGAAUUUUGAGAAAUAAAAAAGUAGGUNNNNNNNNNNNNNNNNNNNNNNNNNNNNNNNNNNNNNNNNNNNNNNNNNNNNNNNNNNNNNNNNNNNNNNNNNNNNNNUAUUUCAUGUUAGUUUAGUUAUGGAAAUUUUGUUAAAUCUAACACGUGAUCAUUUUUUUUUUCUUCUUUGUUGUUGUUCUUAAUUUCGUUAUGAUAAUUUUGUUAAAUAUAACUUUAUUAAUUAACUUUAUCAUGUGAUUAUGUUAUUUUGCUUUUCAUUAGUUUUUUUUAGCCUAUAUAUAAUUUUGUUCACAAAGCAUAAGAUUAAUUUGUUUAGGAAGAUUUAUUUAUAUAGAUAUAUAAUAGCCAUAAUUCAUAAAGGAAAAGAAAAGAGAGGAAAAACUCAUUUAGCAAGGGAGAAAGACGAGUUGCGGGUUAAUUCCAAAACUCGUUACAAAAUAAAGAGUGAAAUGAAGUAAAUGCUUUUAUAUGCUAGAUAAGUUUUCACGUUUAACAAAUUUUGUCUUGAUGAAGAAUGUAGCGUACGCAUCUUUUUGAGAUGUUUAAAAAUAAUUCGAGGAUGCAAUAUUGCACCUCGGCAAAGAUAGUUUUAAAAUUAAUUUCCACUAGUUUAAUACAAGAGUUAUAGACAAAUUUUAGAUAUUAAAAAUGAGCGAACCUAGGCCCAAACAUAAUUCAUAAAAAUAGUUUAAGUCAAGAUAAGUCAAUAAAAGCGACCGUACUAGAACCACGGGACUCGAGGGAUGCCUCACACCUUCGCCUCGAUCAAUAGAAUUUCUUACCCGGUCUUCUGUUUUCGCAGACCAAAUAAGAGUCAUUUCCUUUUGAUUAAGGAUUCAAAAAGGUGAUUUGGAACACCAUAACUCAAUUCCAAGUGACGACUCUGAAAAAUGACAAAAAAUAAUCCCUAUUCAAUACCGUCACUUUAAUUGGAAAAGCCCUUCGACUCGAUUCCUAGAGCGAAAAAGGGGUGUGACAUGAGUGGUUUGUAGGCUAUUACAUAGUAGGGUGUUUACCCAGUGUGCACAAAGUGCUCACCCAAAAGACAGAAGUUGUAGCAAUUGCGGAUUACCCUGGGAUUUAAGAAACAUCUGCCUAAAGGUUUGGAGGGUGGUUAUCCACAUGGAUGACUCGAGUUUAAUCCCCUUCAUUGCCUUCUGAACCAAGUCUGUCGCACAGGGCUUGUCUUGUGCGAUUACAUCUCUUGUGUGAUUUGCAAGCUAUUACACAUUGGAGAAUUUAUCCAGUGUGCACAAAAUGCUCAUUCGAAAAGCAAAAAUUGUAGCAAAGAUUAUAGCAAUUACGGGUUAUCCUAGGAUUCCAAUAAAACACUUGCCUAAAAACUAGCAGCUUGAUUAGAUAAAGAUUGGUAGAAAGGAAGUACCUUUUUAUUUUAUUUUCCAUCAUCUUCAUUGAGUUCGAGUCGAGAGUAUUUUAGAAACAACUUUUUUAUUUUCUCAAAUCUCAUAAUGAAAUUCCAUCGGCUAUGUUGUUGUCGAUUGAUUGUAGAUAUGGGAUAUGUAGCGGUGAUCUUCACACUGACAAACAGAGGUGGUAAAAUUAAUUAUUAAUCCGCUCAUUUAUUAAUGCUUAAUUAUACACACCUAAAAUUAAAGGACAUUUUAUGUCAACUAAGAUAAAGUUAAAUGGAUAACAAUUUUAGUAGGAGUUUGACCACUUUUUUCUGAAAAAUUAUUUCACUUUCAUGAAAAUAAUGAAAAUACCAUUGUUUGGCCAUAAGAAUUAUUUUAUUUUAAAGAAAAUUAUUUUUGAAAGAGUGAAAACAAUAUAUCACUCACAAACUUUUAAAAACAACUCCAAUUAUAUUCAUGGCAAACACAACUUCAACUUUAACUCCAAAAAAUUAUAUUUUCACGACCAAACGGAGCCUUAAUGUCUUGAAAAAAAGUCAUACUUCCCCUACCUCACUUGUGAAAGUUUAGUAAGUAUGUUGUUGUUGUUGGAAAAACGUCAUACUUCAAUGUUUGAAACUAAUUUAAUUAAAAACUUCACAUUUAGCCCAAAGUAAAAUGAUUUAUAGACACAAAUGUCCAUACGCAUGUUAGAGCACAAAUUUUAAGUCUCUCUCCCUAAUGCUGCAUUCAGUAAAAGCACAGCCACUUAAAUUGGGAGAGAGUAAAAGAUUUCUACUUCUGAAUGUAGCUACCAAAUUGGAUGAUAGUAAUCCUUUCAUUAAACCUUUUUUGGGCAUCAAUUUAAGACUAUUUUACUUUACCCCGCACAUGGAAAAAACUAUAGUCUCCUUUUUCAACAAUCUCUUUAUAGUUCCAUAGCAACAUAUAAUUAAACAAAGCAAGCAUAACAAAUGAGGAAGGCUGACUACCAUGUAUGUAUACUACUACAAUUGUUACUAUGAAAGUCACUUAGAUUUCCCUUUCUUUGAAGGCCCUUUUGUUGAUGAUUUCUUGUAGGGUGACUUCCUUGCCUUCAACUUGCUAUCAGUCGACGAUGACCUCCCUCCUUGGCUCCUUCCUUUCUUCUCUUUUUUCACAUUGUACAUGUUUACAGCCUACAGUAUAGAUGAAAAGUUCGCACCAAUUAGCGGAAAGCUAGUGUUACCAAAAGGAAAAAAACGCAAAAAGGCUCCAAGUUCAGUUGGGGCUUGAAGCGCAAAAGCGUAAAUAAACUUGGGCUUUAAUGAGAAAAGGUGCAAAAGGAGAAAACAUACAAAUAUAUCUGUAGUCAGAGACUAAUAUCAAUCAUUUAGUGCCGCCUCUUUAGAAGAGAUUCAUUGGCAAGAAAAAGUAGCCUAGCGCGUUGAUGACGACACUAAAGUGCACAUUAAGCGACGCGAAGAGUCAACUUGUUUUGAGGCUUACUUCAGGGCUUCAGUGCGCUUUAAGCAUGCCUUUGACAACACUGGCGCGUACGAUCUUGGACGAUAAAAUGAUACAGAUGUACAUAUGCAUAUGCCAUACCUUUUGCACAUUGAGUAUCUCAUGGGAGCUCUUGCCCAUCAACUUGUUUAGAACCUUUUCGGUUUGCUGUUUCUCUAAGGAGCCCAUUCCUGAUCCCUCUGCGACUGGUAGGAACUGGUUGUAGUAGAUUGGAGUUAAAAGUGGGCUUAGACAUGUACAAUCAUCAGAACUAAGCAAAAGAUAUGUAUGCACGUUUCCUAGUACAAACCUUCCGAUACUUCUUGUCAUGUUUUGGGGGCUUUUCACCAGGCAACUUCUUGUCAAAUUUUCCGCCACUAGCUGUUGCGUGUGCUGCCAUUCCAGCUACAUUCCCGAGUUCAUCCUUGCUAAUUUUCCUUUGUGCAGCUUGUGUUCCUGUUAUAGGCAGUGCUGUGGCAGCAAGCUGAACGUGACUGCAAAGCAAGAAACCUAGUGUGACGCACAUGUUCUUCACUGUCGUGCCAGCAAGUGGCCAACUAAUGUAUGCUAACACAACAUAGUGAGGAAUAUAAAAGUCAAGGGCAAGAAACAGAAAGAGGACAUCACUAAACAACCCCAAGGAAAUUCACAAAGAAAAAUGAACUUCUAUUUGAUUCAUUCACUAAUGUUAUGAGUUCACUAAGAUUUGAGGUAAGUGAUCGGAAAAGAUUAGACGAGUAGACAUACUCUUUUGGAUAAAUGCUUCUACAGCUAGAUAUAAUUAAAGAAGUUCUUUCAAUAGGAUCUUCGUUUUUUAUCCAACGUUGACUAUGCAGUCUUGUUGUAAGAGAUAAAAAUUUCAUGCACAGGCUUAAAACUCUGUGACUUCCAAGUCGCGAAGAAUCCUCUCCUUCCAGUGUGAUGAUACACUUGGUCACCAUUUGUGUCCAAAAUCAUUUUGAGAGAACAUCAAACAAAUUGCAAAGCGAAAAACAUGUCGGGAUUCGUAGGCACACCGAAUAGGUGCAAGGAGGUCUCUUUGGGGGAGUACAAAUUUUAACCACCACGCUUAUCAAGAAAAAUGACAUCUGACGGAAGGAUGCAAGAGAAUAAGAAAAAGGGAAGAUGCAAACUUCAAGGCAGAAUUUAGCAACAGAUAAUAAAUCCCUCAUAGAUGGCAGUAACUAAUAAAGAAUAAGAUUGUUGCAGAAAACCAAUGAGAAGUUCAGAAGAACAAGACCUUGGCAAGGCACCAGCUUUUGCAGCUUCCUUCAAGUUGCUAUAUCGAUUUUUCUCUUGUUUUUCUAUUCUCUUUUUCUUAUCUUCUUGUCUCUUAGCAAAAGGAUCUUGACCAGGCUCUGAAAAAACAAACCGGUGAUGAAAACAUUUUCAGAACAAUAUCAAAAUGCUAAUGCAGGCAUGUUCUUCCCUUCAUUGACAAAGUUAAGUUGUUUUCCCUAUAGUUAUCAUCAUGAGUACUUGAUUGACACAAGAGAGUACAAUCGGAAUCAGUAUCUAUUAAGAACCGAGAUACUGAACUUCGACUUAAAGACAUAAAUUUAUUUUAGGAUCUUAUGACCCUUUGAAUCCUAUUAUUCAACAUCAUUGCAGUUGAGAACUUGAGACAUAAAAGAAAAUUGAGUAUCGCAGAAGUCGAGGACAAAAAUUUUCUUAUUUACCAUCAGUUGCCUUGGCUUCAAUGAUAGGCACAUCUUUGUCAUCAUUAACGCGAUCGUAGCCAUGUCUGCGCUUCCAUGAACCAGUUUGAUCAUCAAACACAACCUUGUCUUUAUUACGUUUUUGUAUACCUGCAAGACACUUUCCCAAGAAUUAAAAACAAUGAAGGUCAACUAAAUCAAGCAUUGACUGUUCUAAAACCCACAAGAUAUUCACAUGGUACCUUUCUUCUUGGCAAACAGUUCCCAUUUUGUUGGCGGUUUAGGCUUUGGAAGCUGAAACAAUCAAAUCAUAAUUAGCACUAAAUGGAGCUGAUGGAUUUAAUAGAUAAGGCAAGGCCACUGUAAAGAAGAUAUCUUUUCCACUAUGCAUAUAUAGAAGAUAGGGAUGGGAGGAAGGGAGGCAUCUUAAGCAUCCUAUAAAACAAAAUUUUGACAAUAGAAUCAGUGAAAGAAAUUCCUUAAAAUAUGAAAUCAACAAACUUAGGCCAAAAUAUAUUAUAAAUGUUACAUCAACCAUUGCACUACUUCUCUGGGAAGAGCAAAUAAAGUAGUAAAUCGGGAGCAUUGGCAACAUAAUUUCUUGUCACAUAACUUCUGACAAUGUUUUGGUAAAGACCACAUAACUUACUCAAAUUAUGAGGCUUAAAAUCUUGGUAAGCACUUUUCCCCUGUGCCCUCUAUCGUAAAGUACAUUAUCAUAACUGAUGCUUCAUAUCAGAUUCAAUUCACGAAUUUCACAUUUGGAGCUAGGGUCACAUAAAUGCCCAAAAGAUUUAUGAGAUUCGAUUAUUCUUUAUCAGAAAGCUAUGUUGCUCAGACUCUCCAAACUCUUGCCACACCCAUGUCCGAUCCUCCAAAAAUGCACUACUUUUGGAGGAUCCGACAUGCAACCGUCCACUUUUUUGAAGAUUCCGAGCAACAUAGUCAGAAAGUACCAACACAAUAGAAAACAAUUCAGUUGUUUCAAUAUUGUGAAUGCCAGAAAAAGUAGUUCAUUGUUGCAAAUAUGUGCUCUAACUCACAACUCUAGGAACUGAUAAGAAAACACACAAUUCUUCCGCAACAAAUAGAAAUGAGGUCUUACAGGCUUCUCUCUAGGCAAUCUCGUAGUUGGUUGAGGCAACUGAACUAGUGGACCAUCAGGGCUUUCUGCUGAAGGUAAGUUGAAGAGGGCAUCUGCAAUAGCUUGCACUAACUUGGUCCCCUCCUGUAGACACUCCUUCACCAACUCCUCCCUACAUAUUUAGAACAAGAAUACAUGAUGAAUAUAGGGAACCCAUUGAGUGUCCAUAUCAUUAUACCUUAGUCAAAACAUCAAAUUGAGCUAACAUUGAUAAUUGUGAGCUAGUUCCCCUUGAGUUAAACUAAAAAAUACAACUUUAACAAAAACACUCCAUAAUAUUUGGAGCAAAAAUGUGUGAGUCAUAGAAGGAAUUUCAUGAGUAUCAUUCACAUUGCAAAAAACAUCAAAUUCCUUUUCCUGUUGAAUUGACCACCACAACCCAAAAUAAAAGAAAAGAUCAACAAUAAUAGAAACACGGUUGGUCCAAUAUUUAGGUGCAAAAGGCAUAAAGCAAAUACCGUUCAAAACCAUCUUAAAUACAUAAGUAAAAGCUAAGGGAUCAACUCUAAAAUAUAGAACUACAAGUUUACAGCUUCUCAUUGCAAUUCAACCAGAAUAGAGACUACCAAAACGUCUUGCAUUUCUCAAUGAUGAUGUUGGGACUGUAGCAAAAAAGAAUUGGCUUAAUUUGCCUUUAGUAUCGGAUUUAAGUUAGUUAAGAUUCGCCCCUUCUUCCAGUCAAAAUUAGUUCCUGAGACCCUGCGAAUUAGCAAACGCCAGCAGUAAGCUAUUAGGUAUUGCAACCCAAGCAGGAAACUCAAAAGGAAGUUGAACCAGAUAUCAAACUAACAAAGGUGGCUUAUCAAUUAAUCAAGCUUCCACCUAAAUCAGUUGGGAUUGGCUAUCAGAAUCCUCUACACCUAUUCUUCCAUCUUCGGGUCCCUUAGGAAUAUAUCACUUUAUUUCCCUUUUAAAGGACAAACUACGAGUUCUGUAAAUCUCAGACAUAUCUCUAAACAGCUAACCAAUUUAAUCCAAACUAGCUAGUAUACUUUUAGCUAAAUCUGCACUGUUUACCAGAGAUGUUAAGGUCUUUUGACAAUUUCCUGCAAUUUUAGAUCCAAACAUUUGCCCCAAGAUUAAUCUCUCACCCCACAAAUCAAAAAGCAACAUAACUUGAGAAAAAUCAUCCAAAUAGUGGAAGAGAAUACUCUUAAACUCUUUCCAUGUUUCCACCUUUUCAAGCCAGUGAAAAGCGCAAAGAACACGAUACAUGAUAACGAAAGGGCACUGUUCAAAAAAAUAGCUAAUCAGUUUAAUCCAACUUGUUAGGUAUCAUUUACUCAAGACACUUUACUUCCAUCUUAUUAUAUUCUUAGCUAAAUCUGCACGAAUUCCUACAGAGUUUUAGGUCUUUUGACAGUUCCCUGCGAGUUUAGGUCUACCCCUUUACCUCAAAAUGACUCUUGUCACCUCAUAAAUCAAAAAAAGAAUACAAAGCUUAAGCAAAAAUCGUUCAAAUAGUGAAAGAUAAUACUCCAAAUUUUAUCCAACAUUUUACCUCUCGAGCAGAAAUCAGCACAACAGUAUAUGUUAAAAAAGGGUACUUUCCAAGAACAUAGCUAACCAGUUUAACCCAAACUAGCUAGGUAUCACUAACACAGACACAUCACUCCCAUAUACUAUAUUCUGAGCUAAAUCUUCACCUAUUCCCAGGGAUAUUUAGUCUUUUUUGACAAAUUUCCACGAUUUUAGGUUUACCCCUUCAAAAUGAACAACACAACUUAAGCAAAAAUCAUCCAGAUAGAGAAAUAUAAUACUAUAAAGCCUAUCCAAGAUUCUGCCUUUCGAGCAGAAAUCAGCACAACGCUACAUGUUAAUCAAGAAUAGCUAAAUCUAUACUGAUUCCAGAAAUUUUAGCCACCAGGUCUACCCCUUUACCCCAAUAUGACUAUGUCACCUCAUAAACCAAAAAACAACACAACUUACCAGCAUCAGGUACCAGGUAACUCUUUUUUGUCUAAGAUCUUUUAACAAUUUCAUGUGAUUUUAGGUCUAUCCUUCUACCCCAAGAUAACUCUAUCACCUCACAAAUCAAGAAAACAACAUGACUAAAGCAAAAAAUCAUCAAAAUAGUGAAAUACAAUACUCUAAUUAUAUCCAAGAUUCCACCUUUCAAACAAAAUUAGCACAACAGUACAUGUUCAAUCCAACUUUUAGGUCUUUUGACAAUUUCCUGCAACUUUAUGUCUACCCCUUUACCCAAAUAUGACUCUUUCACCUCAUAAAUCAACACACACACACACUCAACUCAAGCAAAAAUCAACCAAAUAGUGAAAUAAAAUACUCUAAAACCUUUCCAAGAUUCAACUUUUCAAGCAAAAAUAAGCACAAUAAUACAUGUUAAAUAAUGGUAAUUUUCAAGAAAGUUGAACCUGGAAGAGGGUGGAGAUGCAAAGUUGUGAUGAGGGUAAGAAGCCAUUAGAUUACCCACAUCUAAUUCGUAUGAUUCUUGAACCAUCUCCAUUUUUUCCAAUUGGUAUGGUUUCGUUUUUCAGAGGAAUAUGGUAGAAAGAGUGGCGAGGGUUUAAGGAGGUGCGGCUUGGUUUUUAUGACAAAAAUGAGGGGUAUAAAAUGCAAAAUAGGUCAAACUUAGAAGAGCCGCUUAUUAAAUUACUCCCUCCAUUUAAAAAAACAAGGGACUACUUUUCAUUUUUAGUUCGUUUUAAAAAAAAUAAUUUUUUACUUUUUUUCACAGAUUUUUAUUUUAUUCGUUCAUUUUUAUUUAUUCACUCUAUUAAAAAUAAAUAUUUAAUAAUAUUUAUUCAGUUUAAAAAAUUAAUGAAUAAUUUAUCUAUUUAUACCAUUUUACCUUUAGCAUGAAAUAUGAUUCAUGAUCCAAUGCGUUUUUUAAAUUAUUAUAUUUAUUAUAUUCAAAAGGUAAUAUAGUAAAAUCAUCUCUAUCAUUUACUAUUUCUCAACCUAUGAACCAAGUUAACAGUAGACAAUUAUUUAUGGACGAAUGGAGUAAUUCUAACUUUUCAUAUUGUAUGUUUUAGACCACAAUAUUAAAGGACAUUUUGAUACAUUUUAUAUAUCUUUAAUUUAAGGCUACAAAAUUGAAAAAUUAGUUAUUUUUCUUUAAUUUUAUGUUAAGUCAAAUAAGGUUAUUUUUUUUAAACGAAGUAUCUUUUUUAUUACUGUUAGUAUCCGGACCAACUUUUAUGGACAAAGAUGGAGAUUUGAAUUGAAACCUCAAAUUUCCAACCAACUUCACUAAUCAUUAAGCCACACCUCCUUAUUAAAUUAUCUUGUUUUGUCUCUUUUUUUGGUUUUCCAUCUUCGAAGGUGGCUAGUUAAUUAGAGAGAGAAAAAAGUUAAUUUAUUUUUAAAUUUACCCUAAAUUAUUAUUGAUUCGAAUUUCUUUUUUUCGUUGAUAUUUGUGAUUGUCUGGGUCAUUUUUCACAUAUUUUGAUUAAAUUCAUGAUAUAAUUAUUACCUCCUACCAAUAUAGAAUAACCUAGAGUCUAUUUACCUUAGGUUCUUAAUCCACUUCAUUGACCACGAAGCUACACCCUUAAUGCAUCGGUGUUAUCAAAGAUUGAAAUUGAAGUUACUUUGCUUUAAAAGUUAGUUAGCACAGCUACAGUGCCUACUUUUCAAGAAAUUAGUUAAGUCUGUUAGUUGACUGUUGGUUAGAACUGCUAUUAAAAAAUAUCUUCAUUUGAUAUAAUUUAUCAGUACAUGAUCUAUAAAUAGUACUUGUAAUCAAUUUUAUAUUCACAUAUGAAAUUACAACUUCCUCUUCUUCAAUUUUAUAUUCACAUAUGAAAUUACAACUUCCUCUUCUUCAAUUUUAUAUUCACAUAUAUCUUCUCUAUUUCUUCUUUUUCUUCUAAAUUUUCUUAUUCUCUCUUGGUUGUCUCCUCUAAUUCAAUUCAUGGACAAACAUUAAUCCUCAAAUAUUUAAGAUUCCUGAAAUCAAGUAACACUGGUAUCAGAGUCGCUCAUUCUCAACAAUAAUAGUGAAAGGUGCAAGAGUAGUUGGUGAUUCGACAACUGAAAUUGCUACUGCAGAGGUUGAAAAAUUGCGUGAAAUGAUGCAGAAUAUGAUGACUAAGAUGGAAUAUUUGACUGAAAAAGUCUCAUUAUUGGAGAGAUUAGAUAAUGUUGUUAUGAAUUUAAAGCAACAACUGAUAGGAAAAGGGAGAAGAAACAUUGUUCCAUUGGUUCAUGAAGAGCAUUAUGACCAUGAAGGUGGUAUAGGAAAUUAUAGAGAAAGGAAAAAAACAUAGGAAAUAACAAAGAGAGGGAAAAGAGUCCUAAUUUUGGUAAUACUUCUCAAUUUCCUAUUUUUUUAAAUUUUCAGCACUCUCAUUCAAUAAAUGGACAAGAAUGAAAUUUUUGAAAUUUUUUGGGGAUGAUCUUCGAUCUUGAUUAUUCUAGAUUGAGCAAUUCUUCUCUAUAGAGAAUUUUGCACCUGAAAAGAAGGUGAUAAUCACAUCUAUGCAAUUUGAAGGGAAAGUUAUUCAGUGGCAUAUCUCCUUUAUGAGAUAUAGGCAGUAUUUGCAGACUAUAAGUUGGAAGGACUAUGUGAAAGCUUUAGUAGAAAGGUUUGGAAUUGACUUUGUUGAUUCCAUGGGGAAAAUCAAGAAAUUAAAAUUAAACAAAUCGGAAGUAUAAGAAAGUAUCAAGUUAUUUUUUAAAGAAGUUUGAUAAAGGUAAACCUCUUAGAAAAGAACGUUACUAGUUGCUACAUUAAAGGCUUAAAGACUGAAUUGAAUAUUAUUGUCAAGAUCACAAAACCUUUAUCUUUAUCUUAGGUUUAUAAGAAUGCAAGAAGCAUAUUUGUUUGCUAUGAGGCAGUAGUCCACAAAUUCUUCUCAAGGGAAUACAAAGAAGUUUGUAAAUAAGAGAUACCCUAAUAAUAAAGGUAUUUUACCUACUCCUGGUAGCAAUAGUUCUAGAUUCUCUAAGGGAUUAAUAUAAGAAUUCUAAAUUUUGAAGAGUAAUGAUAAGAGGGCAAAAGGAUUAUGCUAUUUUUACAAUAACAAUACAUGUCUGGUCAUAAAUAUAGAACUUCAAAACAAUUGUACUUACUGAAAAUGGAUAACAUAGAAGGGUUAGAAGAGUACAGUGAUAAUUAAGGGGUGAAAUCCCAGAAGAACAAGGUGAUCAAAUGGACUUGGGACAACUUGUAAAACACAUAAACAUUUUCAUACAUGUUUUGAAUGAUUCAUUGGGAUUUAAGAUCUUAAAGUUGACUGGUUAUCAUUCUAAAAUGGAGGUCCGUAUCUUUAUUGAUAGCAGUUCUCAUAAUUUCAUUGACCUUGACUUGAUUAGCAAAUUGCGUUGUGAAGUGAAACUUAUCAAGCCUGAUGUGGUAGCAGCUGCUAAUGGUGGUAUGUAGGUGUAUAAAAUGACUACUAUGACUUGGUUACUUCAAGGGACUGAGUUUUGUGUUGAUUUCUUAUUACUUUUUAUUGGUUCUCGUGAAGUGGUGCUUGGAGUUUAGUGAUUACUCGCACUAAAAGAUAUCAAGUUGAACUUCAGGAAAUUGAUCAUGCAAUUCUAGUAUAAUGGGAAGAAACAUGUACGAAGAAACAUGUACUCGGAGGUAGUAGUAAUCAGGUGUUGACUCCUGAUGCAGAAAAAUUAGCAAGACAUUUAGAAAACCAGACUCAUCUGUGUAUGAUUUAGGUGGUGCCACAAGAAAGUGAAGAGUUUAUGUGAUAUCCCUCACAAGUUAACAAGAAUCAAGAGGAUGUCCUUGCAUUGCUUGAGGUAAUGUCUGGAUUUUCUAUAUUUUUGAAGAGCCUAAAGGUAUACUAUUUUCUAAAAGGAUAUAUGACCAUAGAAUUAUGUUGAAACCUGGGUUGAACCUAUCAAUAAAACACCAUAUAAAUAUUCUUCUAUUAUUAAGGGAAUGGUAUAAGAAAUGAUGGAUCAAGGUAUUAUUCAGCCUAGCUGCAGUUCCUUUGCAUCAGCUGCAGUUUUAGUAGGCAGAAAAGAUGACUCUUGGAGAUUGUGUGUUGACUAUAGGGACUUGAACAAGUUAACUGAUAACUAUAAAUUUUCUAUUCCUACUGUGGAGGAUUUUUUGGAUGAACUAGGAAGUUCCAAGGUCUUUUUUAAAAUUGAAUUAAGAUUUAGAUACCAUCAACUAAGAAUGGUCACAAAUGAUGUAUCUAAAACUACUUUCAAAACUCAUUCUGGACACUUUAAAUACUUAGUGAUGUCCUUUGAUUUGUCCAAUGCUCCUACUACAUUUCAAGGACUAAUGAAUUGUAACGCCCUGAAAACGGGUCCCGAGACGUCACACGGUUUUUAGGGCCAUAAGUGACCCCAAGCUAACCCUUCUACCGGUAUAACUCAUAAGAAACUGAAUAAAAUACAUAAAUUUGAAUGCAAUAAGUGAAAGAUGACUCUUUUCUGAAUCUAAUCGACACAAAACUAAAUUAAAAUGAUUACAACUCUGCUUUUAUAAAAUCUGGAAUCAAAUACAUUAACUCUACUGACUAUCUAUGAAGACUCUACUAGUAUUGACUAUAGGUAGCCGGGACAUGACCCCCAGCUAUCCCAAAUUAAUAUGACUGAAUGAAUAAAAAUAAAAUAUUGCUCAAACUAUAUGACUGACUCGAGCCCUUGAAUCAAGAGGACUCGUGACUAGCUGACUGGAAGCUGCAAACUGUCAGAAUAUGGUAUGCGUGCUACAAUUGAACUGAUACCUACAUUAUGAGACAAUGUAGCACAUAGACAUAUAUGUGGAUUAGUACUUUGAGGAUGUACUGAAUAUAUGAGGGUGAAAUGCAUAAGUAAAACAUCAUCUCAUCAUCAUAAUUAUAAAAUAAUGCAUGCUAAAUGUAAAUGACUCACAUAAGCUAGAAUAUCUAAAAAUACUGAAAUAAUAAGAAACAAAUCAUACUUUAUAAAUCUAAUGAGUCAUAACAUUUAGUUCUAAAAGUUGUACUGGUAUUCUCUCUUUAAAUUAUAUUAUCUAAGGUUAGAAAGGACUCACUCUUAAAUCUGAAAUCUAAAAGAUGAAAUUUGUAGCUAAUAUCUUUCUGUAAAGCAUAAUUUGAGUAAACUUUGUAAGCCUUUACACUUGGUUUUCUAAAAGCUUUCUGUUAUUUUUUUCUGAGAAACUAUUCUAAAAAUCUUUACCAUUAAGCUGUAAGGAAAACACUUUAAGAAAAUCUUUCAAAACUUUUCUUUACUAGUAGAGAGGUUCUCUUAACCGACAUAAAUCAUGUGAGCUAAUAUGGAGUCCAACGUCUUGUUCCCUUAUGGGAAAAACCUCACGAUGAGGAGAGGUGUCAUACUCUUGCCAAGGAGUAUAACCUGAGUUAAGUGAUCACAUCUGUAACUGUCACCCAUAUUAGAAUGGAAAUAAUUUAAAUUUGUACCUAAAUUGGCUACAUAGUUUUGUGGAAGAUAGGUCACGCUAAUCCCACACUUUUCGCUCAGUGCUAAAUACUACUCCCUUUAAUCCGCUACGCUCAUUCUGUUGGAAAUCCACUUUAAAAUCUAGUAUAAAGGUUUAUUACGAAAUGAAAAAUGUUUUUAUCUGAGUCAUUCUGUAAAUAAAACUAAUCUGAAUUUUGUAAACUGUAGAAAUUCUGUAAAGUGAAUUUCAUAGCUAAACUGAGGAUUCAAAGAUCAAAUACUAUUUAAUUAUCUAAAAAUAUGAUAAUCUCAGGGUACGUAGAGGUACAACUUCUCAAAAUAUCAAUGCUCAAAAUAGGGUUUAAUAACUCAUGCUUCAAACUCAUGUAAAUUCAUAGCAAAUCAUCAUGCUCAAUAUUCUUCUUGAAAAUACUUCAACAAUAUCAAAAUAAUAAAAUCAAGAAUCACAAUAUCAUGAUUAAGCUCAAUUGAAAAAUCUGAAAAAUCACAUUACAUGCAUAAAUAUAUGAAAAUAGUCAUGCAAUUCAACAUUCAAUCAUCUAUAAAUUUAUAAUCUUCAAAUACUGAUAAUUGGGUAUGAACCCUAAUUUCAAAUAAUAAGAAAUUUGCUGAAAAAUAUAAUCUAGGGGACAAGGAUGAAAGGAUUGUCCUUGUUCAUAACCCCACAUACCUUGAUUGAUGAUUAGAUGAAGAAACUUGAAUUAUUGAUUCCUAUUUGAGUUCUUGAAGAUGAGUUCUUGAUUAUCUUGUCUUGAAAAUCCUCAAUUUUGAGAUUUGUUGGAGAAACAAUGGAGGAUUUUUAUUUCUUGGAGAGAAAGCUUUGAGCUCUAGGGUUUUUCUUUGAGAGAGAAUUGAUGAAUAAUGGGCAUAAUAGGCUUAGAAUGGGUUUAAUCUUAUGUUAUACAUGAAUUGGGGGCUUGGAAAUUGAUCAAAAUACCCCCUUUAAACUUCUAAACGGAACUGGAAAAAGCAACAUUUUUCGAACUGGUAGGCCACCGCGACGCGCCACUAUCGCGGUGGCUUACUAGAAAGUGGCGAGUGGGAACUAGGCGUGCUCUGCGACGCGCCACCAUAGCAGGGCCCCUUUCAAAUGUCAUUUUGGCCACCAACGCGACGCGGUAAGAUCGUGUUGGGUUACUAGAUUUUGACAAUUGGGAAAAUGGACCACUCCUCAAUGCACCAAUAUCCCAGAGGUCCACUGGAAUUGACGAUUGCCAUUUUUUCCUUCUCCGCGAUGUGCUGAGUGCUCAGGUGGCACACUGUCAACUUAAAAAUGUCAUAACUUUUCAACCGCGCGUUGGAUUUAGGCGAAUUUGGUAUCGAUGGAAAACUUAUUCAAAUUUCCACACAAUAGAAGGUCUAAAUCUGGAAAAUUUUACAUGGAAUAAAUAUUAUUCACUUUGAAAGCUAUCCCUUAACAUUCUAGGAACGAAUUUAAGCUAGGAAAAUUACGGGGUGUUGCAUGAACUCUAUAUUUCAAAAGAUUUUAAGGAAGUAUGUAUUUAUUGUUUUUGAUGAUAUGCUAAUUUACAACAAAAAUAUAGAGGAACAUAUUAUGCACUGAAGUCUGUAUUUUUUAAGAGGGUGGAGCAUCAGCUAUUUGCUAAAAAGAGCAAGUGUUUCUCUGGUGUUAAUAGAAUCGAAUAUCUUGAUCAUUUUAUCACAACAGAAGGUGUGCCUACUAAUCCUAAAAAUAUUAAAGUUGUGAAGGAAUAAACUACUUCUUCUACCUUGAAAUAGCUAAAGGAAUUCUUGGGGCUCGCUGGUUAUUACAGGAGGUUUAUACAAGGUUUUGAUGUCAUUUCUAAGCCUGUUACUGACCUCACUAAGAAUUUAAAGUUGCAUAUGAGUCAUUUGUACAGUUGAAGGAAUCAUUAACUCAAUCUCUUGUUUUACUUUGUCUGAUGCAAGUGAAACAUUUGUGAUGAAGACUGAUACUAGUGGACAUGGGAUUGGAGUUGUACUAAUACAUGAAGGACAACCUAUAACCUUCAUCAAUACGACCUUAUCACCAAAACAUAUUGUUUUAUCUAUUUAUGAUAGAGAAUUAUUGGUCAUUAUUCAGGCUAUUAAUAAAUGAUCGCAGUAUUUGUUAGGGCAGAGUUUUGUUAGAAAGGCAGAUCAAAAGGUUCUAAAAUUUCUCAUGGAGCAUAAGUUACACACCAACUCUCAAUCGUUAUGGUUAACCAAGUUGAUGCCUUUUGACUACUCUAUUGAAUAUAAGAAAGGAGUAGACAAUAUAGUUGUAGAUACACUUUCAAGGGUGAUUGGAGUUGAGUUUCUUGCUCUGAUUAUCUCUCUCACUAAUAUUGCCCUCUUCCAAGCUAUUAAGAAUAGCUGGCAUUAGACCCUAAGCUUACUCAAUUGAUUGCAUAUCUACAUGCUAAUCCUACAUCUCACAGAUAACUUACCUGGGCUCAUGGUCAAUUGAGAAGGAAAAAGAAGUUGGUGAUUGGAAAAGUACUGAACUUGAGACGUGAAAUUACGUCCCUUUAGCAUGUUGUACCAUUUUGGGGGCAUUCAAAAGUUGAUACUACUCUCAAAAAAUUAUUGACACUAUUUUAUUGAAAAAUAUUAAACGCAAAUGUGAAGGAUUUCAUUCAGAAAUGUGAUAUUUUUCAGAAAAAUGAGUGUAACUUAGCUUCUUAUCCUGGUCUACUACAACUUUUACCCAUUCCUGAGGUGGUACGGUCUUAAAUUAGUAUGGAUUUUACUGAUAGUUUGCCCAGAUCACAGGGGUUUGAGGUGAUACUUGUGGUGGUGGACAGACUAUGGGAACUUCAUGCCACGCAAACAUCCAUAUACUGCUCAGGUGUUUUUUGAUACUAUUGUGAGAUUACAUGAAUAGUCUGAUGCCAUCACAAGUGACAGAGAUGCAUUCUUUCUUAAUGCGUUCUAGCAGGAGCUCUUUAACAUCCAAAGUGUCGUGUUACACAACUCUACUCCAUAUCAUCCUCAGUUUGAUAUGUUUGGAAACUUAUUUGAGGUGCUACUACAGUGAUGACCCCUCUUCUUGGGUUGUUUGUUUGCCUAUGGAUGAGUACUGCCAUAACACCUACUUUCACUCAGCUAUUCAGAUAACACCUUAUAAGCUUCUAUAUGGCAGGCCAUAUCCUCUACAUCUUCCUUAUUUACCUGGUGAAUCAGCUUCUGCUAAGUUUGACACCACAUUCAUCAAUAAGGAGCUUAAACUACAACUUUUUAAGCACUACUUGAUCAGGGCACAACAUAGGAUGAAACACCAGGGUAAUGUACAUAGGAGUGACAGGAGUUUCCUUGUGGGAGAUUAGGUUUAUUUUAAGGUUCAACCUUUUAAACAAGCUAUUAUCUUUAACCAUUCAUCUCAUAAGUUGGCUGUCAAGUAUUAUGGAUCAUUUCAAAUCAUAAAGAAAGUUGUCCCUGUGGCUUACACACUUCGACAGCCUAGUUCUAUCAAGAUUCAUGCCAUUGUAUAUGUUUCCUUAAUUAAGAGGUGUUUUGCAGUCCCUUCCAUUAUCUCUCACCCUCUUACUAUAGACUUAGCCAAUCCAAAUUGUCCUAUGCCUAAAGCUACUUUACAAAGAAGGAUGGUCAAGGGGGGUAAAAAGUUGUAGCUCAAGUAUUGGUUAAAUGGUGCGAUUUACCUGCUGAUGUGGCUACUUGAAAAUUUGCUACAGUAUUUAAGACUAGAUUUCCUUCAUUUGAUCCUGGAGGACAAAGAUCUUUCUAUUGGGGAGAGUAUUGUUAUCAUAAAUUGAAGUUAGUUAGUACAACUACAAUGCUUACUUUUCAAUAAAUUAUUUAAGUUUGUUAGUUGGUUGUUAGUUAGAACUGCUAUCAAAGAAUAUCUUCAUUAGAUAGAAUCAAUCAGUACAUAAUCUAUAAAUAGUACUUAUAAUUAUUUUUACAUUCAUCUAUGAAAUUACAACUUUUUCUUCCUAAACUCUAUCUUCUUCGUCUCCCCCCCCCCCCCCCCCUUCUCCUCCUCUUUCUCCUCCUCCUUUUUCUCCUCCUCCUCCUCCUUCUCCUCCCCCUCCUACUUCUUCUUCUCCUCCUCCUUCUCCUCAAAACAAAUUCUUCUCCUUCUCCUCCUCCUCCUCCUCCUCCUUCUGUUCUUCUGUUUCUUCUCUUCCGCCUCCUCCUCCUCCUCCUCCUUAUUCCUCGUGUUCUCUCUUGGUUGUACCUCAAAUUCAAUUCUUGGACAAUUUCUUGAUCCUCAAAUUCUUAAGAUUCCUGAUAUCAAGUAACAAGCGGUCCCAAAUUAAAAUUUGAAAAACUUACUCUUUAUAGAUUGUAGUAAAUAAAUUUCUUCUACAUUGUAUCUUGUAUAUUAUACUAGUAUCUCCAUCUCAAAAUAGUUGGCAUAUUUGAUAAAAAAAAUUCAUCUCAAAAGUUGGCAUGUUUAAGAUCAAGAGAUAAUUAAUCACUUUUUUUUCAAUUCUAUCCUUAAUAAUAAUUAUUCUGGAAUUAAAAGGUACGUAACUAGAUGAAAAUUAAAGAAUUAAUAAAGAAUAUAUUAGUCAAAUCACAUUCCUAAUUAAUUUUGUAAGAGUUGUACAAAAUCUAUACAUGUCAACUAUUUUAAGACGGAGGAAGUAUUAUAUUAUUUUUUUCCUUUUAAGGCUUUAUAUAAAAGAUAAAUUUUGAUCGAACAAAAAAAGAUGGUAUUAUUAAAACACAUCUAAAGUAAGUUAUUUUUUCAAAGUAUUUUAAUACGCAUAAUUUAUAGUGUUAACGGAAGGGGAAAAGAAGAGAUCAUUUGCCAAUGACAAAGGUACCAAUGGUCCAGAAACUCUAGUGAAUGUACCCUAAGAAAAUAUUUUUAAUGGUAGAGGGAUAAAUUUCAAUUUCUCUUCAGUAAUCUAAUAUUAUUACAGUAGAUCACAAGGAUAUUAUUCUUUUUAGCUCUGUAUUCUGUACUCACUUCAAAAAUUAAUUAAUCAAAAUCUAUAUCGCAUAAAAUUCAUUAAAAGGAAAACACUCCAUAGUAAUUUGUUGGGAGCCUUGUUUUACCCCAAUAGAAAUCAUGACUAUUGGCUAUUAGGUGGAAAUCCUUAUGAAUCUUUCUUGGCUAAUAAAAGCUUCUGUAGUGAAGUGAAAACAUGACAUUUUUGGCUUUGAAGAGCAUAAUAUUUGUUACAGACUAAGAAGCUUUUAGUAGUGUGUUUCUGUUUAGAAAAUGUAGCUAAUGAUCACCAACAAAAGUUGCGGUGUCCUUGUGAGUCCUUUUGGACAUAGAGUUGUCUUUGUUAGAAAACCCUUUACCCUCAAUGGACUUCCCAAUAUAAAUUCAAAUUUAAUCGAACUUCUAUAUGAAUAUCGCAUAAAAAGGUAGAAAAUUAAAAAAAAGUUGUAGCAAAUGAUAACAACAACAACAUACCCAGUGUAUUCUCACAUAAUGGGUCUGGAGAAGGUAGAGCAUAUGCAGACUAGACCACUACCUCAUGAGAAGUAGAUAGGUUGUUCCCGAUAGACCUCCGGCUUAGGACCGAUAACAAUAUAACAAACACAAAACAUAAAUGCAUAUAAACUUGUACAGUAUGCAAAAUAAACUAACGUCGCUAGCCACAGAAUAAUACUAGAACCACAAGAUAAUAUUAAAAACUAUCUAUUCGAAACCAUAGACAUCACUCAAUACCCCGAACAAGAAACAUCAGACACAAAUAAAUAACACUCCUACUGUCAAGUUGUGGCAAAUGAUCAAGAAGAAUAAAUAAUGGUUCUUUUGGGAAUAUCUAACAAGUGAGACUAGAGCUUAAGGAUUGGCUCUACCUACAAAAGUUGGAGCGAAGCGGUAAGUACUCCUCGAUCCUUAAUAAAAGGUCUCAAAUUCGAAUCCUGAGUAUGAAUUUAACUUUGAUAGGGAGAUUUUUUGGUGCAAACGAAUUAGUCGGACUCGGAAAAGAAUACUGAACGGUGAAAAGCAACAAAAGAAAGUGUAUUGAUUCUUUUUCAGACAAUACCAAAGAAACUUCUACCAUCUCCUGAGGAUCUCACAAUGAUUUAUUAGAUUAGUUGGUUAAAUGCACGAGUUAAUGGCUCAAAGUACGUAACAAAGUCAUUUUUAUUUAUUUUAUCACAGAAAAAAUCAUAUUUUUUUAACAGCCAUUUCACACCCAAAAAACGUUCUAGCCACUUUUGUGAUUUUUUUCAACACCCUAACUCAUGAUUCGACAUUAAUAGCAAUCCACAUGGACAUAAAUAAUCCCAAAAUGAAAAAAGAAACCCAACCCCCUCUAACCAUGCAUGUUGACAUUAAUGUAGAUGAAGAUUGCAAGAAAAACAUAGAUAGAGACACACACACAGAAAGAGCGAGCAAGAGAGAGAGAGAUAAUGUUUAGAAAGAGUAUUCUAUUUGUCCAAAAAUGAGUCAUGAUUCUUAAAAAUGGCAGAUACGAUACAUAGUUUCUCUCUAAUUUCAAGUUAUCAUUUGUGCCCAUGAUGUGAAGCCAUGGUUCACUAAUCUUUUGAUGUGAUGACCAACAAUCCCAAUGCACCUAUUAAUAUAUACUGCAUAAACAGGCAGAGAAAAAGAACCUAAUAUCAGAAUUUCAUUGGACCUAGCUAGUCAACAUAUAAAACUCACAAAAAAAAAAAAAAAAAAAAACACUCUUAUCAAAUAAAGUGAAAGCAAAAUUAGAAGUUUGAUUCAUGACGAACCUUGAUAAUUGGCUUUUCAGUCAUGAUUAUAGUUACCCACCCAACAUAAGGCAAGAACCUGAAAUUGACAAGCAACUGCUUCAGCAUACAAUGAACAAGUAGGUAACGCAAAACGAGCAACAAUAAAAAUAACUUCACGGUAUGUUUCCACAGAUGGAGUUUGGGGAGGAUGGGGUGUACUACUAGACUUACCCAACGUUUGUGAGGUAGAGAGGUUGUUGUUUCCGAUGGACCCUCACCACAAGAAAAACAUUUUCCAGAACAGGUUUGAAAGCUAUGAUGAAAAUGUCGAAGAAAGAAAAGUAUUGACAGUAAAAGUAGUACUACAAAAAAAUGGAAAAAGAAAUCAAAAAGAGAGAGAUAGAGGAGUGACUACUUCAAUCCUUUCUCAAGUAUCAACAGGUUCAUGAAACUUCCCUAGUAUGGAAAUAGUGACAGAAAAUAAUGACAAACUUCUAUGCAAAAGUUUACUUAAAGGGGAGAACUUCAAACGGAAAAAGAUAAACACUAUGAAUUUUGCAAACUUUUGAUGGGAUUCCAAUAUUGCAUCGAGUAGCAACUGAAAGGAAGCGGUGCAUAUUCAAAAGAUAAAGCCUAGAAAGGAACGAGCGGCCAAGGCAACACCAACCUAACAACUGCUGAUAGGUCUCUAAAGCACAAACAUCAAGAAAUGAGAAACCAAAAAUCUAAAGAGUAUAUCUAAUUGUCAACUCACCCAACAGCUCUCCCCAUGAUGUGGUGACGUUGCAGCCAGAGUUGACCCUGGGCAUAGAGAAGUCUGUCAUCACCAAAGUUGUUGUCUCCUGAAGAUAUAAAUCAUAAAAAAGCAAGAAAAUUAAUGAGUCAUCAUUCAGAACAAAGAACCAUAAAACCUUGCUUAACAAUUAUUAGGGGGCAAGCAACAGCAGGCUUUUUCAGAUGAUAAGUACAAAGAGACAGAGCGGAGAGCUCAUUGUUUGAAGUAAACUCUUUCAUUAAAUGGAAAACUAUGAAAUGAUUGAUGUGAAUAUGAAAUGAUUGAUAUGAACCUUAUAAACUGUAAGAAAUUUACGAUAACUGAUUCUCAAUGCAUAGAGAGAGAGAUCCGUAUACAACAUACCUGAUCUCUACCUAAUAUGCAUCAUAAAAUUACCUUUUGUUAGGACAUCAACUUCUCCCGUGUCUUUGCGCUCGUGAACCUAUACGGGGAAACAUAAAAGAAUAUUGGUGGUUAAGUUUAAUCAAGAGGAAGAAAAGUGGGCAGACAGCAAAUGUAGGACACAACCAAAACUAGUUAAGUACAUGAAACACAUGCCUUCUUGUCAGCAUGAUUCAACAAUAUUUUAAUUCCUGUUCCCUUUUCGUUCAGAGGGUUGGUACUUGGGUUGGGUUUGGAAGUAAAUACAAGUGUUAUUACAAAUUGAAUUAUCAAGUGAAGAAAACAAUACAAUAUGUUGCUGAUUAUAAUUGUCAAAUGCUAUUUUCUGUUCUCGAUUAGACUCAUCAGUGGUAUAUGACUGCAAAAUUUACUUUUUAUAUAUGUAUGUCUCUGUUCUCUCAAUUAUCAAGGAAGAGAGAAAGGGAAAAUCAUCAGCCAGUCUCCAAACCAACCAUACCCCAGCGGGUGAUAAACCCUAAUCUAAUUAUGGAAAGAGAGUCAUCUAUCACUUGAUUCACUUCAGAAUGCACUUCAUUUAUCAGUCCUUUAUAGCCGUCUUUUCAUUGUCAAGUUUUAAUAAUUAAUUGCACAUUCCUUGUUUUACUACCAACGCAGAGAAACAUUAGAUGCAGGCAACCAAGUUAUUAUAACCAAACACAACCAGAUGAAAGAAUAUGUUGUGUAGAGAGCAGACAUUCCAACAUACCUUUAUUACUCGAUGAACAAUUGGAAUUUCACGUCCCUGUGCAACAAAAUACAUGCCAUCAACAUAAGUAAAUUUCAAAGUCAACAUAAAUGACAGCAUAAAUUUCAGCUGGAUGAUCUUUGACAGAUUAAAAUCCAACCAAUGAAAUAGAUACUAGUAUUUAUGAGCAAAACUAAAUGGGGCCUAUUCGAACCAUAUUAUUUCCUUGGAUCAAUCUUGGACUACAUCACUACAGUUGUGUUUUCUAAAUAAAUAACCCAUGUUGGAUUAUCUGCACUUCUAUCUCGUAGAGAAAGUUACAUAUUUUAGUUAGAGACCAAUUCUUUUUAUGGGGGGUGAGGCGGGGGAGAUUGAGGCCAUUGUUUCAAGAGUUAUAUCAUAUUUAGGACUCUAUAUUCUAUUAAUUGAAUUUCUUUGCAUUUCGUUUUUCUUUCUUUUUUUUUUUUUUUAAAUGAACGAUAGUUGACGAGUGAAUACAUUAUGAAUUGAUCUCAUCAUUAUAUCUCUCUUCCACCUCUUAAUAUUUUUCCCUCUCUCCAUUUCGUUGAUUUCUUCCACCUAGCAUCUCUACUAUCUCCCUUUUAGUACUAAAUCAUCUUCAAUGGAAGCUUCUCAAUUGCAUUGGUGUUGAUUCAAGUCUAUAGACUAUCACAUCCUAUUUAAUGAUUUCUUCCUAGCAUCCGAUACUUAAUUUUCCAUCCAACUGAUUCCCCGACAAAGAUUUCAAAAUUGAUUUCAUUAACUUAUUUCAUAGUGCAUGCUAGCAAAUCUAAAAUGGAAUAAAUAAAGGUCUCCCAUCAGUUGGGCUUUAAGAUGAGGUGCUUCACGCUAUAUAACAUGACAUCAUGGUAAAAUUGUGCUCCUGCAUUUAACUCUCAUCCCCAGAAAGAUAUCAUGUACCCAGGAGAAAAGAUUCUACAUGUAAGAGUGAUGCAUAUCUAAAUGAAUACAUAAAUGUACCCCCCUCUAGUAAAACUACUUAAUAAACCUUUAUACGACGCAAUUCGCACAAUUCAACAUUCUGUACAUCAAGACCAAUUCCAUCAAUUUUUAUUCCUACUUGUUUUGUACCUCCAACCCCAUACCCUCUGCCCAAACGAUAUUGAUUAUUAACAAAAAAUAUGUGCCUUGACCUGUUGGUGUGGACUAAAUAGAAUUUUUGACAGGUGCUAAGUAGUUUCUAUUUUAACAUAAUUAACUCCCAAGUAAUUGGCAUUGGCAAAGCUGACAAUACAAAGAAAAAUUGUUAAUCAUGUAUGUUUAUCACCUCAAAAGCCAAAGUAACUCGAGCAGAAAACAGGUAAAACAGAAGAUGCUGGUAAGCAUUACUUACGUCAACAUUAAACACAACAAUUUCUCCCGCACGAAUAGGAUCCUUACUCAUGUGCAAGAAAAGAAUGUCACCCUGCAAGAAAAUAGACGAUGCUUUUAGUAAUACAAAGUCAAAAGAGCAACUAACACUCCACGUAAAGAAGUAUUUCUACUUCUCACUGAAGUGCAAAGAAAAAAUAUUCAGGAGAGUUCUCAGUUGAGGUUCUUCGACAGUAAGAAAGACACCAGGAUCAUACUGUCAUUGACACAUGAAAAGCGUCCGUUACACAACAUGCCCCCCCACAAAACCCCUCCUCUUUUUCCUUAUGAAAAAGUUUCUUUAGCUCACCCUUUUAAAGCCAGGUUCCAUACUUCCAGAAAGCACAACCACCACAGGUGACUCGCUGCCAGUUAUACACAUCAAUGCUUUCCAUAUUAUAAGCGCUGAUGUAACAAUCAUACCUGAAAGUGAUCAUGUGAAAAAGGGUCAAAAUAAAGAACAUUAACCUUUACAAAGUAAAAAAAUAGAAUCCAUCAACUUUCAUUUUUAUACUGUUCCACACAACAAAGAACUGAAUAUAGAAUUCACAUUUCAUAGUGAAUUUUGUAGCGAAAGAGAGGUAGAGAGAGAUGAUCUCAAAAGAAUAUCCACAUCUAAGGCUGUCCAGUGUUCGUCCGAAAUCAACUUUUUCAGUGAGGUAUUAGGUUGAACUGAUUUUGCCCAAUAAAAACGUAUUAAAAGAAUUUAAACUAUAUUUUUCAAAUUGCUCAAAUACUCUGAUACUCAGUUCUUCAAUUUCUUUCAAGAAGUAAAUUUUGAGUUGAAAGAUUUAAAAAAAUUGAGUUUGAAAUUACUUCCCAAUAUAGUCAACUUUUGUUUUGCAAAACAGCUAAAACAAACACUUGAAGAAAAAUUUAAGAACUUGAGUUUCAAGUUCAAUUCUUUAAACCAAUGCUAACUAGAUAUCCUCUAUCCCAAACAAAAAGUCCAAUUUCUAGCUCGUAUAAUCUAAUCCGAAACAAACCCAAUGCUAAACGAUAAAUCAUUGAGAACAUGAUAGAGAAUUAGCUUGACUCUCAUCUGCAUUAGUUCCAUAUUUGCACAAACUUAAGGAUUUCAGAAGAUGAGCUUCAUGGCUAAUCACUUUUCUGCACCAUUUUAAGUUUCAUAAUAUCCUUACACUGAGGACAUAACUGAUUCGAAUACAAAGUGUUAUCAAUUUAAUUAGAAUUCAUUAAUGUAUAUUACUGACGCCGGCGACGGCGUCGAUUGAGCCGGAAAAGGUAAGGUCGAACCUCUCUCCCACCCCAGAUCUCCCUCUCCCCCAGUUUCCUCUAUAUACUGUAGCGAAAGAGAGGUAGAGAGAGAUAAUCUCAAAAGAAUUUCCACAUCUAAGGCUGUCCAGUGUUCGUCCGAAACCAAUUUUUUCAGUGAGGUAUUAGGUUGAACUGAUUUUGCCCAAUAAAAACGUACUAAAGGAAUUUAAACUAUAUUUUUCAAAUUGCUCAAAUACUCGGACACUCAGUUCUUCAAUUUCUUUCAAGAAGUCAAUUUUGAGUUGAAAGAUUUAAAAAAAUUGAGUUUGAAAUUACUUCCCAAUAUAGUCAACUUUCGUUUUGCAAAACAGCUAAAACAAACACUUGAAGAAAAAUUUAAGAACUUGAGUUUCAAGUUCAAUUCUUUAAACCAAAGCUAACUAGACAUCCUCUAUCCCAAACAAAAAGUCCAAUUUCUAGCUCGUAUCAUCUAAUCCGAAACAAACCCAAUGCUAGACGAUAAAUCAUUGAGAACAUGAUAGAGAAUUAGCUUGACUCUCAUCUGCAUUAGUUCCAUAUUUGCACAAACUUAAGUAUUUCAGAAGAUGACCUUCAUGGCUAAUCACUUUUCUGCACCAUUUUAAGUUUCAUAACAUCUUUACACUGAGGACAUAACUGAUUCGAAUACAAAGUGUUAUCAAUUUAUUUAUAAUUCAUUAAUGUAUAUUAUUGACGCCGGCACUGGCGUCGAUUGAGCCGGAAAAGGUAAGGUCGAACCUCUCUCCCACCCCAGAUCUCCCUCUCCCCCAGUUUCCUCUAUAUACUGCCACCCCCUCAAUUCCCUUCUUGUCCCGUCGCUACAGUCACCGGCGCAUUUAGGGUCCCCGCCAGCUCGACUUCCGGCAUCAGGGAAGGGUUUCAUCUGCGGCAAAAAAGGUAGGUCAAACAGGUGGUUCGAGGUCAGCAGACGUCCAGAUCCCAGAUUCCAGCAAGACCCGAAAGCCUCUCCAGCGACGUACCAGCAGUCUUUUUACCAGCUACCUUAUAUCGGCAAUAAACUUUUGACACCAAAUCGACGGAACCAGCAGCUAGCAGGAGUACCGGUGACAUCUAAACUUUUAUUCAUUUAGCCACUUCAUACAGUUUUUGAUUCCUUUAUAUUAUUUGUUACUGUCUCUGUUUCCCUUUUUCUGCGUCGUUUCCUGUUGCUUGUGUGUGGCUGGCUGCUUUGUUUGGAGAGAGUUGUUGAGUUGUGUUCUGGAUUAUUUCAUCGCUCGACUUAGUUAUAACUUGUGGGAUAUACUUUUUCCUUGUUUACUCCUUCUACUUUGCUUGUGCCUUCUAUUUUCUGCUGUUGCUUUAUUACUAUCGUUGUUUGUUUUCUUGUGGAGUUGUGGUUGUGGGCUUUGAUGGAAGGAUAGCGUCAUGUCUGAGGGGGUUAGGGAGGGGGGCUGUUUUGAGGGUGGGGGAGGAGGGAAGGGCAGGCGGGGGAGUAGGGGCAAGGUCUGGCGUUAGAGGUGGUAGAGGAAAACAUGUUGCUAGAGUCGAUAAGCUGAGGUUGGGGUCUUGGAAUAUAGGGACUCUUCAGAGCAAGUCUAUAGAGCUGGUGAAGAUUCUUAGAAAGAGGAUCAAUAUUGCGUGUGUGCAGAAGACUAAGUGGGUAGGGUCUAAGGCUAGGGAUGUAGAUGGGUACAAGUUAUGGUACUCUGGUAGCGAGAGACGUAGGAAUGGAGUUGGCAUCUUAGUGGAUGAAGAGCUUAGACGGCAGGUAGUGGAGGUUAGGAGGAUCAGCGAUAGGUUGAUGACUAUUAAGUGUUAAGUUGGUCAUUGGGGGGUUUACCCUGAACGUGUGUAGUGCUUAUGCGCCGCAGGUGGGCUUGGGUGGGGAGGAGAAGAUGUGGUUUUAGGAGGCUUUGGAUGAGGUGGUGAGAGUGCCUAGUUCUGAGAAGAUUGUGGUAGCAGGGGACUACAAUGGGCACAUUGGGGCAUUUCCGGGAGGCUUUGGCGAUGUGCAUGGUAGUUUUGGUUUUGGGGAGAGGAAUGAAGAGGGAGCUGCUUUGUUGGAUUUUGCGAGGUCCUUUGGGUUGGUUGUGGUGAAUUCGAGCUUCCCGAAGAAGGACGAUCACCUGAUCACCUUCCGAAGCGCGAUAGCCAAGACCCAAAUUGACUUUUUGCUGCUUAGGAAAGGGGAUAGGAUGUUGUGUAAGGACUGUAAAGUCAUUCCGAUUAAGAAUCUUUCGACUUAACAUAUGCUUUUGGUAAUGGACUUGGGUAUUUUAAGAAAGAUAAGAAGAGAAGGCAUGAGGAGGGUAGACCUAGAAUUAAGUAAGGUGGCUUAACGCCGGCGACUGCACGGGAGAUAGAGGAGAAGGUGGAGGGAAUGAGGGUAUGGGAGUGUAAGGGAGGUGUGGAUGAUGUGUGGGAUAGGAUGGCUAGGUGCAUCAAGGAGACUGCUAGUGAGGUGUUGGGUAUUUCUUGGGAUCGGGCUGGUCACCGUCAGGGGGAUUGGUGGUGGAAUGAAGAAGUUAAGAAGAAAGUGAAGACGAAGAAGGGGGCGUAUGCAAAGUUGAUUGAGAGUAAGGAUAAAGAGGAGAAGCGGGCUAAUACGGAGGAGUGCAAGAUAUCUAGGAAGGAGGCUAAGGUAGCAGUUACGGCGGCUAAGAUAGCAGCGUUCGAGAGCUUGUAUACGGGGUUGGAGGCGAAAGGAGCGGAAAAGAGAUUGUUUAGGCUUGCUAAGACUAGGGAGAGGAAGGGUUGUGACCUCAACCAGGUGAAGUGCAUUAAGGAGGAGGAUGGUAGAGUGUUAGUGGAGGACGGUCACGUUAAGAAGAAAUGGCAGACGUACUUUGAUAGGUUAUUGAAUGAUGAAGGGGAUAGAGCUCUUGUGUUAAGGGAGUUGGAGCACUCUGAGGAGUGUCGUGAUUUUAGUUAUUGUAGACGCUUUAAGGUAGAGGAGGUCAGAGAGGUUGUUCGCAGGAUGCAUAGGGGUAGGGCGACGGGGCCUGAUGAGAUUCCUAUGGAUUUUUGGAAGUUUUCUAGCGAGGCUGGCUUGAGAUGGUUGACUGGUCUAUUUAACGGCAUUUUCAAGUCGGCGAAAAUGCCCGAGGCUUGGAGAUGGAGGACUAUGAUCCCUCUACAUAAUAACNNNNNNNNNNNNNNNNNNNNNNNNNNNNNNNNNNNNNNNNNNNGUUUAGGUUGAGGAGGUUAGUGACUAUCUCGACAAACCAGUUUGGAUUUAUGCCUGGGCGCUCGACGACGGAGGCAAUUCACCUGGUGCAGAGACUGAUGGAACAGUAUAGGGAAAGGAAGAAGGACCUGCACAUGGUGUUUAUCGACUUGGAGAAGGCGUACGACAAAGUCCCUAGGGAGGUUCUCUGGAGAUACUUGGAGGUGAGUGGAGUCCCGAUGGCGUAUAUUAGAGCAAUCAAGGACAUGUAUGAUGGGGCUAAGACUCAGGUUAGGACGGCGGGAGGAGAUUCAGAGCAUUUCCCAGGGAUCUACUCUUAGCCCAUUUUUGUUUGCUUUGGUGAUGGAUGUGUUGACGCGGUGUAUUCAAGGAAAGGUGCCUUAGUGUAUGCUUUUUGCUGCUGAUGUAGUUUUGAUGGAUGAGACGCAAGUGUGUGUGAAUGAUAAACUAGAGGUGUGGAGAUGGACCCUUGAGUCUAAGGGGUUCAGGUUGAGUAGGAGCAAGACAGAGUAUUUGAAAUGCAAGUUUAAUGACAUACGGAAGGAGAACGAAGUGGUACUAAGGUUGGAUUCCCAGGAGGUGUGUAAGAGGGAUAGUUUCAAGUAUCUCGGGUCCUUGAUUCAAGGGAAUUGUGAGAUUGACGAGGAUGUCUCCCACUGUAUUGGGGCGGGAUGGAUGAAGUGAAAGCUCGUCUCGGGGGUGUUGUGUGAUAAAAAGGUGUCGCCCAAGCAUAAAGGCAAGCUCUAUAGGGUGGCAGUUCGGCCGGCCAUGCUUUAUGGACCGGAGUGUUGGCCAGUCAAAAACUCUAACAUUCAAAAAUUAAAGGUGGCAGAAAUGCGGAUGUUGCUUUGGAUGUGUGGGCUUACUAGGGGUGAUAGAGUUCGGAAUGAGACCAUUCGGGAAAAAGUUGGAGUGACUUCGGUGGAGGACAAGAUGCGGGAAGUUCGAUUGAGAUGGUUCGGGCACGUGAUGAGGAGGAGCACGGAUGCCCCAGUUCGUAGGUGUGAAAGGCUUGCGUUGGAUGGCUUCAGGUGGGGUAGGGGUGGGCCGAAGAAAUACUAGGGAGAGGUAAUUAAGCGGGACAUGGAGCAGUUGCAGCUCACUGAGGACAUGACCCUAGAUAGGAAGAUCUGGAGGACGCGAAUUAGGUUAGAAGGCUAGUGCCAGUUUGGGUCGUUGGGGUAGGGCUUUACUUGGUGGGUGUAUUAUUCUUGUUAUGCCACCUUGUUGCAUGCUUUAUUACGAAUUUGUUUACUAUUAUUUGUUUAUGAUUCAUUGUGGGUGGCUUAUUUAUGUCUUCUCAUCUUGUUCCAUGCUUUAUUACGGAUUUGGUUAUUAUCUCGUGUCUUGAGCCGGGGGUCUAUCGGAAACAACCUUGCUACUUCUUCGGAGGUAGUGGUAUGGACUGCGUACAUCUUACCCUCCCCAAACCCCACUAUGUGGGAAUACACUGGGUUUGCUGUUGUUAUUGUUGAGGACAUAACUUAUUCAACCUUGCCACUCAAUUAAGUUAUUUCUUGCCUUCUCACACCAAAAAAAAUAUUUAUAUGCAUAAAAGAGUUCUCUUAAUUUGUUACACAGACUUAAGAUGUACUUGAUUUGGGUCUAAAUCUUUCAGCCUGUUUCAUGUUCUAUAGUUCACCUUGAGACAACAAGUUCAAUUAUUAUAUAAAGAAGAAUAAGAUAUAGAACUUCUCGUAGCAAUCUGCCCAACCCAAACAAGCACUAGUACAAGAAACCGUUAGCGACCAAAUAAAUGCCACAUAACAAGCUUACAGACCAAUGGGACUUGGUCAUUAGCCUUGAAUAAAGCUCAACAAUAGUAAAUAGGCAUCUAAAUUUGGUUUCUUUGGUACUAAAACCAAUCCUAAUAAAUUUAAAAUGCACCAUGAAACAACAACAUAUCCAGUGGGUCUGGGGAAAGUAAAGUGUAUGCAAUCCAUAACACUGCCCAGAUGAAGUAGACGCUAUUUCCGAUAGACCCCUGGCUCAGGACAGACACCAGUAUAACAAACAAAAAAUAUAUAAACACAACACCGAACAAUACAAGAAACAAGACAACCAUAGAUUAAUAUUAUAACCUAUCUAUCUGACUGCUUUAUAAACUACCUAUCCAACGGCUUUAUAAACUAUCUAUCCGACGUCCCAAAAAAGACACCAGUAUAACAAAUAAAAAAUUAUAAAAACACACAACCGAACGAUACAAGAAACCAAAUACCCAUAUAUUAAUAUUAUAAACUAUCAAUCCGAAAUCACCAUGAAAGAAUCAAGACAAAUAUACAAAAUGCUUUGUGCAUUCAAAGCAAAAAAAUCAACAAGCAAUGAGGUGAUUCCGCAAGCAGAUAAAUACUUAUUAUCCUAAUAAAAAGCAACCUAAUUUAAACUACCCCAAAGACCUAAAGACAAUUUUUUUUCAUCAAAAAUCCAAAUAAAUUAAUUUUAAAAAAAAUCCAAGAACUGACACUUUACAACCACCAAAAAACAGUAAAUUUAUUCUGAAUUGUAAAUGCAUUAAGAGGUCCAGCCCUUCCAUGGAUCCCACAUAGCUGUAGCUUUAGUACACCGGACUAUAUCGGUCAACUGAAAAUUAUACUAUUUUUAUUCUAUUUUUAAAUGGUCAAAAAUAUUUUUUAUGUACUUCUGAACCCUCAAUGAAAAUCCUAGCUCUGCCACCACAGUCAACCCAAAAGGGUCGGAAUAGAUUCGACUGAUAGGUCCAAAAAACACACAGAAUUGCAAAAUCAAACAAUUUCAACAACAAAAUUAUUAUUAUUAUUAUUGAAAAAGAAAAAAAAAACUGAAUCUACGUGUUAUAAAAUCUAAAUUGAAUUGAAAAUUUGUACAAGAAGAGAUUGAAAAACGAACCAAGACUAAUAGCUUGAGUAACGAGUUGUCUAUACUGAAUAGACUUAAUUGAAUCGAUUUGCUCUCCGAUCCAUCCCAUUUUCUACUCUCUUUCUGUGUGUAUUUUUCUUGUUGGUCUGAAUGAAUUGUAAAUCUUGAGGGCACAAAAAGUGAGAAAGGGUUUUUCUACAUAUAUGCUGGAAAUUUGGGGUGAGUUUUGAGUUUUAGUAAGUAGUGGGGCGCUUUUAAAUCCUUCCCAAAUUAAGUGUGAAUGAAUUUCUUAUGUGUUUGGAUAUAGAUUUGGCUGAAAUUUGAAAAAUAAGAAAAAAAGAAAAGUAGCAUAAACAUAUUUAUUAUAUUUAUACGAAUUUUCAUCCUUAUAAAGUAAUUACAAAA